rnacentral:lncRNA from 1 species
AGAUUUCUUGCCAGACAGGUUUUUCGCUAACCCGGUGGAUCGUAAAGGCCGAGAUUUCCAAUUUAUCCCCUUUGGUGCUGGAAGAAGAGGAUGCCCAGGGAUAUCAUUUGCGUUAGCUACAGUUGAGUAUGUGAUGGCCAACCUUUUGUACUGGUUUGAUUGGAAUUUGCCUCUUGGUGAAGUUGAGGAGAAUUUGGACAUGUCCGAAGUUAAUGGGCUAGUGGUUCAUAAGAAAUUACCUCUUCAUCUUGUGCCAACGCUCUACUCCCCUUGCUCUUAAUCUUGAUAUGUCUAGAAAAAUAUCCAUUGUACUUAUAUUCUAAUCAUGAUUAUCCUCUUUUAAUUCCCUCUUGUGAAAAAUUGUACCAGUGUUGUCUAUUUUCUUCUAUGUUCAUGGACACCUUGAGGAGCAAGUUAUUACCAAUAAAAUUUUAUCAUCUGUCCAUAUCAUAUUGGUCCUCUGCUUGAUCUUUUCCAUAAAUUCCAUCAAUCGGUUUAGAUUUAGAGAAAUACAAAAAGUUAACAAUUACCAAUGGUGCUAGUAGUCGUGGUUGCAAAAUAUUAUAUCCAUCGAGUUGAUAGGAGAUUAAUUACAACUAAUCAAGAACAAAUAAUUAUGAAGCUGAAAAAAAUAUACAACUAUGAUUGACAUGUUGACAGCAACGGCGAAUAUAUAUAAUAGUAACACCAAUCGUGUUGAUGGGAGACUAUUUGUGAAAAUUGUUUUUGGAGACUAUUUGUGAAAAUUGUUUUUUCAUUCAUAUUUUAUAUUCUUGUGGCUUGAAAGCAACUCUGAAAGCAACUCUAUGUCGAUCAUUUAUUUAUUUUCUAGUUCUUAUUUUAUGUAUACAGGUUGUUGAUAGGAGAUUAAUUGCAACUAAUCAAGAACAAAUAAUUAUGAAGCUGAAAAAAUAUACAACUAUGAUUGACAUGUUGACAGCAACGGCGAAUAUAUAUAAUAGUAACACCAAUCGUGUUGAUGGGAGACUAUUUGUGAAAACUGCUUUUUCAUUCAUAUUUUAUAUUCUUGUGGAUUGAAAGCGACUCUAUGUCGAUCAUUUAUUUAUUUUCUAGUUCUUAUUUUACGUAUACAAGUUGUUGAUAGGAGAUUAAUUACAACUAAUCAAGAACCAAUAAUUAUGAAGCUGAAAAAAUAUACAACUAUGAUUGACAUGUUGAUAGCAACGGUGAAUAUAUAUAAUAGUAACAAGUAACACCAAUCGUGUUGAUGGGAGACUAUUUGUGAAAAUUGUUUUUUCAUUCAUAUUUUAUAUUCUUGUGGCUUGAAAGCGACUCUAUGUCGAUCAUUUAUUUAUUUUCUAGUUCUUAUUUUAUGUAUACAGGUUGUUAUUUCAAAAUUCCACAAUUUUGCAUUGGAAAGGAAAGAUAGCAAAAUGUAGUUUAUAGAGUAACACGUAUGUCUACAACAAUAAACCCAUAAGGACGAAGCUCAAGCAUGCAAGACCAAACCCAAAUGAGUAGCCUCAUCUAUAACCUUGUAAUUGGGUUAUCUUACAUAGAUGACUCCAAGAACCAGGUAUUUAACUGUUUUUGUUUUUGUUUUUGUUUUUUUUUCCCAAUUAACUGCCGAUCACUCACCUGAAUUUUUACUCAAUAAUCUGCAUAACUCACAUAAGGUGAUGUUUGUCUAGAAAAUAUUUUAAAAUAGAAGUCCUGUAAGUAGAAUAUUUCAAAAUUUGCAAGUUUCCAAAAACACAAGUACAUCAACAUAUUAUUCUAUCAUAAGAGUUUUUCUGCACCCUUUGAACCAAUUAACCCUAAAAAAUUAAUUGCUUUACAAGUGAGCUAGAUUAAUUUGAACUUCAUACCUCUUCUUCCAUAAGAGAUUCUAUCAGUUGAACCACCAAUCCCACACCCACACAAAUUAAUUGAAGACAGGCUACAGCAACAAAUUACCUAGAUAUUUACUGAACAAAUGGAAUUCUACAAAGUGUUAAUUUCUACUGCACAAAUGGCAUUAAAUUAAACCAUAUACACCAAAUUAGAGAACAAAAUUCACAAAAAUAAAUCAUCUCCUGUCCAAACUGUUUCCCAAAUGUCACUCUUUGCCUUACAUGUUGAAAUUAAUUUCUCAAGAAACACCUGACAAAUUUCUUACCUGUAGAUUGACUCCAUGUAGUGGCACAAUAAUGAAGCUAUAAAUAGGUGAGUGAACAUACUCUAGAGAAAAUGAGAAAUUAAUGUUGUGGUUACAAAUUGAUAAUCAGAAUGGACUGCAAUCAGAAUGGGCUGCAAUCAGAAUGAUAAUUGAAAUAAAAAAGGAGAAUGGAAAUCAUAAUAAAUUGCUAUAAGUUAUUAAAAUGACCUUAAUUUAUUAUUGUUGCCGUCAUUAUUGUCAUCAUCAUUAUUGCUAAUAUUAAUUAAUUAAUUAUUAUUAUUAAUAAUAAUAUCGUCGUCGUCAUUAUCAUUAUUAUCGUCAUUAAUUCUAUUAUCAUUAAUUAAUAAUAAUAUUAUUAUUUUUAAAAUUAUUACUAUUAAUUAUUCGAUUUAUUACCAUUAGUCAAUAGUACUCGUAUUAUUAUUAUUAUUAUUAUUAACAAAAAUUACAAAAAUUAGAAAAAUAACAGUAAUAAUAAUGUAACAUAAUAAAAUUAAUUGAGGAUAAAAGUAGAAUUAUGAAAUUGGAAUGAGGGUAAAAUGGGGAGGAGCUCAAGGGAUGGGAACUUGAUUCCCACCCUGCUCUCCCCACAUGGGAAUAAAGUUCCCAUUCCUUAAUCCAAAAAACAUUUGGGCCUCACAUAUUUCGUUCUUAUUUCCACUUCUAUUUCAGUAAGUAAAUAUUAUCAAUCAUUUCCAUUCCAAAUUCUAAUUCCCUAAUCCAAGAAAGUAAAUGCGCCAUAAGCGAAAUUAGACAGCAGGAGAGCAAGUGGUAUCUUAAGCUCAAUCAUGGCCAAAUUUUGUCCCAGACAUGCUCGAGGACCAAAUCCAACUAGCAUGUCUUAUAGUUUAAUUUUAAAUGGUAUGAGUACCCAAGUAGGUGGACUAUAGUCAUUCUCUAUGUUGAGAACCAUGGCUGCUGUAAAGGAUAAGGCAAACUGAUUAAUUGUCAAGGUGGAGUUACUACUAUUCAAAUCAAAGUGGAGACUUUUUGAAUAAAAGUUACAUGAAUAGUUUAAUAUUCAUUUGUAGUAAAAGUUGAGAAAAGGAACUAACAAAUUUGCAUGCAUUCCUUGGAAGUUUUAGUUUAUUUUGAAGUUUGCAUGGGCAUUAGAUAUUGGCAUGAAUUUUUUUUACUUUUGUAGCAUGCAAAUAAACGCAUGAAUGCCAAGAACUCUUUACAUGCAUUAACUUUCAUGCAUUCAUUCACAUACCAUAAAAGUAAAAAAAUUCAUGCUAACAUUUAGUGCCCAUGCAAACUUCCAAAGAAACUAAAACUUUCAGUAGAAUGCAUGCAAAUUUGUUAGUUCCUUUCAACUUUUUUUAACAUUUACUGCAAAUGAAUAUUAAAUUAUUCAAGUCACUUUUAUUCAUCAGCACGUACAAAUGUGGGUGCUUGCAAGCAACUGUUAUUCCUAAUUUGUCAACAGUAGCUACCAACAAUUUUCUAAUUUCCUUAAGCAUUAAAAAUAAUAUUAACAGGAAUAUCCACUAAAAAAUGCAAAAUCAGAUUGGAAGCUUACCAAGAUGACCCUACUUUGCUGCCGCAUGAAAUGAAUCAUAUCCAUUCCUGGCUGCAAUAGAGGCAGUUUCAAGGUUCAUAUGUUGAAGCAUCUCUUCAACCAUCUACCACUCUCUGCAGCCACAUAAAGGGGAGUCUGGCCUUCUUGAUUUUGUUUCGACAACAACUCCUUAGCUUCACUAGAAUCACAACCCUGCAAAAUCUCUGUAACUUUACUUAAAUUCCCAGUUCGAGCUGGCAAGUGUAGCUGCAAGUGACUUCUUUUUCCUGGCAAAACCUUAUUCUUCUUCCUCUGACCACCACCUAUAAAACUCAGCUGUCUCUCCGUCACUAUGCGAAAACUCUUGUUUUUCCAUCACAAGUACUCAGCUGUUUAUCAAUAGUCACACCAUGAAAACUCUGCUGUUUCUCUAUCACUCCACGAGCACUAGGCAGUUUAUUAGUGCGCACACCAUGAAAACACUGCUGUUCUUCCAUAACCCUUUGAAUACUAGGCUGUUUUUCAAAGGCGACACUGAAAAUACUUUGCUGUUUCUCCAUUGUCCAUGUCCUAAAACUGCUUUGUUUUCCAUUAUCAUGGACAGAACUAGACUUAAUACCCAAAACUAGCUACAAAUAUCACUGACACUCAGCAUCCAAAUCCUCGAUGUACAAAAAAUUGAAACAUCAAACCUUGAAUUUCAAAAACCCAGAAAUCAUUUCUUUUCCUCCACAAUCAUCCACAAAGCUUCACACAGAUUGAUAUCAAAAUCAAAUAAUUAACUUUCUUGCAAUCACAACUACGAUUCCCUGUACAAUUUCAAGUCUCUAAUUCAAGAACCAAAUUUUACGCAUUUGAGCAAACAUACCAAAAACCUACUCAUAUAGCAAUAUAUAUCAACAACGACCCAGGCUCAAAAAAAAAAAUAUAUAUAGAACCUUGGAAUUGGAUAACUUGCUUUUUGAGUUAAAACUCAAGUCUUUGUGGUUACCGAGAAAAACAAAAUUGAAAAUAAACGAACCCAAAUCAGCAAUUCACUAAAUUGAAGAACCCAGAAACAGAUUUUUAAUUUUCAAAAGAUCAUAACCUCAAUCAAACCCUCAGUUCUUUUGACCGCUGGGGCGUACCUUAGAGUGAAGACAACUGACAUAUAACAAGCACUCCACAAUUUAAACCGCUACCAGACUACCAGUUGCUUGUGACGUUAUUUUAUUUUAUAAUUUUCAACAAUUAAGAUGCUUUAUCUUUUUAAUUUUAUUUAAUUUUAUAUUCAUUUUUGGGCCACUAAGCAAGUUGCAUUAGCUGAAACUUGCUGAAAAUAAAACAGAUCCUGUCUUUUAUUAUUUUAUUUAUUUUGUAGGUAAAUUUUAUUCCUCAAGGUAUAUUAGAGAAAAGGGUUUGGCUAGAAUGCCAUGCCGGGCUCUCAAAAAGAGAGCCCGGCUGUCUUUGGCUGUCAUUUGGCAACCAAAGACUUGGUGCAGCCGGUUAACAAACCGAUUGCACCUUUUUUUUUUUUAAAAAAAUAAUAAUAUAAAAAUGAAAAAAAUUAAAUAAAAUGUAAAAAAAUAUUUUUUUAUAAUAUAAUUAAUAGAAAAAGAUAAAGAAAUUGAAUAAUAUAAUACAAUAUAAUAUAAUAUAAUUAAAUAAAGCAAUUUAAAAUGAAAAAAAUAGUAUUUCAUGUUUAGCGUCCGUUGUUUCAUGUCCGACGGUAGGAUUUCAUGUUUGACGUCAGAUGUUGCAUGUUUUGGAUAAAGCCAAAAUAAAGAAUAUUCUCGAAUAUUCUCGUCCGUUUCAUGUUUUACGUCCAUGUUGCGAACUUUACGUGAUAAGUUGUAUAUUUCACGUGAAGUGUUGCAAGUUUCAUGUUUAACGUCAGUUGUUGUAUGCCCAACGGUAGGAUUUCAUGUUUGACGUCAUAUGUUGCAUGUUUUGGAUAAAGCCAAAAUAAAGAAUAUUCUCGAAUAUUCGUGCCCGUUUCAUGUUUGACGUCCAUGUUACGAACUUUACGUGAUAAGUUGUAUAUUUCACAUGAAGUGUUGCAAGUUUCAUGUUUUACGUCAGUUGUUGUAUGUCCGACGGUAGGAUUUCAUGUUUGACGUCAUAUGUUGCAUGUUUUAGAUAAAGCCAAAAUAAAGAAUAUUCUCCAAUAUUCUCGCUCGUUCCAUGUUUGACGUUCAUGUUGCGAACUUUAUGUGAUAAGUUGUAUAUUUCACGUGAGGUGUUGCAAGUUUCAUGUUUAACGUUAGUUGUUGCAUGUCCGACGGUAGGAUUUCAUGUUUGACGUACGAUGUUGCAUGUUUUGGAAAAAGCCAAAAUAAAGAAUAUUCUCGAAUAUUCUCACUCGUUUCAUGUUUGACGUCGAAGUAGUGAACUUUACGUGAUAAGUUGUAUAUUUCGCGUGAAGUGUUGCAAGUUUCAUGUUUAAUGUCAGUUAUUGCAUGUCGGACAUAACGGCUGCAUGUUUGACGUUAGAUGUUGCAUGUCUUGAAUAAAGUCAAAAUAAAGAAUAUUCCCGAAUAUUCUUGCUCGUUUCAUGUUUUACGUCAGUUGUUAUAUGUCGGACGUCACAGUUGCAUGUUUGAUUUUAGAUGUUGCAUGUCUUGAAUAAAGCCAAAAUAAAAAAUAUUCUUGAAUAUUCUCGUCCGUUUCAUAUUUGACGUGGAAGUUGCGAACUUUACGAGAUAAGUUCCAUAUUUCACGUGAAGUGUUGUAAGUUUCAUGUUUAACGUCAGUUGUUGCAUGUCAAACGUAACAGCUUUAUGUUUGACGUUAGAUGUUGAAUAAAGGUAAAAUAAAGAAUAUUCCUCAAUAUUCUCGCCCGUUUCAUGUUUGACGUCGAAAUUGCAUACUUUACGUAAUAAGUUGCUUAUUUGACGUGAACUGUUGCAAGUUUUAUGUUUUAUGUCAGUUAUUGCAUGUCGGACAUCACGGUUUCAUGUUUGACGUUGGAUGUUGCAUGUCCUGAAUAAAGCCAAAAUAAAAAAUAUUCUCGUAUAUUUUUCAGAGUAAUUCUAGAAAUAACGGUUAGCCGUUAUCAGAUAACGGUUGACCGUUAUCUUCCAGAAUCAAAUUAGCAGUUACACUAAUUUCUAGAAGAUAAUGGUGAACCGUCAUCAAAUAACGGCUCACCGUUAUUGUCUAGAAUCAUUUUCGACAAUAACGGUGAAUCGAUUUUGGAUAACGGCUAACCGUUAUCUUCCAGAAUCAUUCCGGAGGGAUAUGGAUGUGAAUUAUGUUCACCCAUACUUUGGUCUUGGAUGGUUGAUAUGAAUGUGAAUAUUUGAUAAUCCAUAUAUUAUGUGAUCAAUUUAUUGUUAAUAUGGAUAUGAAAUAUUUUAUCUCAUAUUUGAUGUUAUUAAUUUAUUAAUUGUAAUAUGGAUGGGAAUAGGGAUGGCAAUUAUACCCGCAAACCCAUAAACCCGCCCAAACCCACCCGCCAAAACCCGCCCGCUGCGGGUAAUUUUAUCCGUUGCUGGCGGGUUUAGUAUUAUAAAUUAAAACCCGUACAUGGAUGCGGGUGGGUUUGGUAUUAGCCUUAUAUCUAGUGGAUACCCGCAUGGAUAUCCACCAAACCCACAAUAUUUUUUCCAAAUAUUUUUAAUUUAAUUUUAAUCUAAAAAUGUAUAAAGAAAAUAAUGUCAUUAUUCAAAUUACCAAAUAGCCAAAGGUUCAAAGUUGUGUAUGUGUGUAUGUGGCCCAUCUCCCAUUCUAAAGUCAUAAACUAAAUAAAACUAAAGGCAUUUCCCUUCGAAUUAGUAUUUAAAAAUAUUAAUCUUAAUUAUUAUUAUAGGCAUUGUGUUGGAUGGGUGCUUAUGGUGGUGAAUGAAAUGAAUAUCUUCUCUCAGAGCUUGUUUUAAAUGAUAAUAUGAAAUGUAAUUAUUAUUUUUAGAUACUAGUUUGUAUUUUUUAAAUAGAUUUGUGUAAUUUAUACUUAACUUUGAGAAUUUGUGUUGGAUUGAUAUUGAAAUUUUAAUUUUUCAUUUACAUUGUUUAAAUACAAAAUUGAGUAUGUUAUAUGGAAUUUGAGGUUAUUAUUAUAAAUUUAUAUAUUAAACAUUUGUGAUUUUAAAUACGGAAACCCGCAAAAAAUCCGCCGGGUACCAUUGCGGGUUUGGUAAUUGUUAAAACCCGCUGCGGGUGGGUUUUUUAAAAAAAAUUAAAACCCGCUGCGGGUUGCGGGUGGGUUUGGUAAUUUAAAUUUUGUGCGGGUUUGGGUUUGGUAAUGGCAAACCCGCUGCGGACGGUGCCCAUUGCCAUCCCUAGAUGGGAAUUAUAUUAACCCAAAGGCUAAAUAUGAGUAUUCCAUAGAAUAAUAGCAAGUUACAUUUUCUAUCAAGCAUUUGACAAAUAUGUAAUUUUCUAUCAAGCUGAUUAAUAUAAAAAAAUAUCAAACACUUCUAUUCGUAACUAAAUACAAAAUAAUAGUGCAUUUCAAAAUUCCUUGACAAUUCAAAUGAUAAUUUAUAAUUAAACUUAUUUUUAAUAUUUUUUAAUUAUUAAUUAAGUUUAAUUAAGCCAAUCUAUUAAGUUUUAAUUUUUUUUAUUAUUAACUAAGUUUAAUUAAGCCAAUCUAUUAAGAAACAAAUAUGGAAAUGUUGCCUUAGCGUUAAAAUUAUUUGGUAAUUCAAGUGAUUAUUGUUUGAUACUCCAAGUAAUAAUUUAUCAAUUUAACUAUUAUUUGAACCAUUUAUUUUGUAAUUUGUUUAAUUUUUCAAGCAAAAACUAACUAUGAUGACAAUUUUAUAUUACCAAACAACAAAAAUGUUAAGUUCCAUUGGUAAUUUUUAAAUUUUUUAUUCUGCAUAAAGGGUCAAAUUCAUUGUUGCAAUUUUCUAAGGAAAGAAUCUUUUAUAAUUGAAUUAAGCUCAUAAAAGGAAUGCGUAUUGAUAAAAACUAUAGAUUAUAUAACUAAAUUGCAAAAAUUAAAUUGGGCAAGACAAGUAUGUUUAAUAGUACAAGGAAGCAAUCAAAACUAGCAACACAUAUAUGGCAUGUGCAUUAGUUUAGCAUUAUUAAUAUCUAAAUUGAUAGCAAAUACCCAAAAUAAGAUCACAUUUUCUUUGGCUAUUCUUCUAGUAUUGCAGAAAAUUUGUAGAAGAUCAUGAAAAAAGCGGCGGGGGGGGGGGGGGGGGGGGGGGGGGGGGGGGGGGGGGGGGGGGGGGGGGGUGGGGGGAAGGGAAUAGCUUUUUCCAAACUAUAAAAUAGAUACCCUAAAAUAAGUGCUUAUUUUGACAUAAUCAAGCAAUAAAUUGUAAAAACGUACAAAUAUAUCAUAGCUGGAAUUAAAGAAGCCAUAACAAGAAUAUUCCCCGCAGAUAACUCAUCUAGGGAAGAGAUUGUUUAUGAUAUAAAAUUUUAGUGGGUAGCAAUCAGAUUAAUAAGCAUAAGCAUUGACAAAAGCAUCAAGUUGCAAUAAAAACCUAAUGACUAACUAGAGUAGAUUCAUCUAACACACUAAAAUGCCUAUAAAAUUGUUGAAAUCCAUCAUUCACAUGCGGAGUUGCAGGAAGCUUUAGCAUGUCAUGUUGGCUAUUGAGCUUGGCAACAUCAAUGUGAGUCUUGCGAUUCAUGUUCUGCAGAGUUCUAUGGUAACAGAAGAUAAUAUAGUAGAAAGAAUUAAUCAUAUAGCAUUUUGUAAAAUAGAGACAAGAGUUAAAACAGUAUUGGGUGUUGGCUUACACAGUAGCACCGUUCUUCAACAGAGGGGCUACACAUUCCUUCUAGUCAUAAUUAGCUACAUAAUGUAAGGUAGUACUUGUUCUUAUCCACAGCUAACUAUGGCCAAUGGGCCGUGCCGUGCCGGCACGGCCCACCAACUGUCGGCCCAUAAGGGCUCGUGGGCCGGCACGGCACGGCCCACCAAUUUGGUGGGCCGUGCCGUGCCGUGCCUACCUUUUUUCAGUUGAGCCCAGCACGGCCCACGGCACGAGCCCGCUCGUGCCGUGCUCGUGCCGUGCCCAAAAAAAGCCCACCAACUUUUUUUUUUUUUUUAGCGUGCUUAAAAAAGCCCACGUGCUUUCUUUAAGCCCACGUGCCUAACGUGCUUUAUUCAAGCCCACGUGCCUGACGUACUUUUUUAAGCCCACCAACAUAAUAAUAAUAAUAAUAAUAAUAAUAAUAAUAAUAAUAAUAAUAAUAAUAAUAAUAAUAAUAAUAAUAUUCACAAUCAUAUUAAUUUUUAUUAAGAGAGUAAUUAACAUUUUAUUAUUAGUUUAUCACAAUUUCACAACUAUAUAUUUUAUUUCACAAUAAUCAAUCAUAAUUCAUAACACAACAAUACAUAAAUUUAAUUUAAUUUAAUUCCAUAGAUCAUAAUAAUAAUUAAUUAAAAUUAAAAAUACAAUCCUCGAAUAAUCAUUACAAUAAGUCAUAACUACGAAAUAUUAAUAUAACAAAUCAUAGGUCAUAACUUACAAGUUACAACUACAAAACACGAACUACGAUCAAUUGACGAAUAACAAGCACGAAAAAAACAUUUAUUAAUCACAAUUCACAACUAUGGAUACGGGAAACGAGCAAGGUUAAUUCUAUCUCGGCUGGUGGCGAGCUAAACAAUUUGACACGUGCCGACGUAAACCCAAGGUGCCAUGGCUGUUUGAAUAAAUAACUUCUCGAUGACAAUAGUUGCACCUCAAGAUCAUCCGCUUAUAAGGACGAUGCAAACCAUUAUCUAUUAUUUCCUCCCUUAUUGUAGUAAAAUUUUGAAAAAGCUCAUUUAGAAAACGACCUCUGGGCUGAUUUAGCCUAGCAUUUUGUUGAGGUCCAACUACAUCAACAUCGUAUUCUUGAGGGUGUUGAGGUUCUUCUGCAUUCAUAUUAUGUUGCUGCGGAUUCUUAAUGAUUUUGGCUUUUAGAAUAUUGGAAAGUUUGAGGAAAAAGAAGAAGAAGAAGAAUUGUGAAGCAUCAUAGCAUAAUGGCGUGUAUAUAUAAUAUUAGAUAGUAAUAAAAAGACAAAAAUUAAUUUUAUUUACUUUGUUGGUGGGAGUAAAAAGAGUAAGUAAAAAAAUAUUUAAUGAAAUAUAAAUAUAGCCGUAAGGCAAGUGCUUGCUUGGCAUGUGGGAAAAAAAUCUUAAAUUAUUUAAAAAUCUGCAAUCUGAACGUCUGCAUGUGCACUAUAUGACAAGUUGACAAAUGACAACUACCGUGUUAAAAAUUUGAGUUGAGAAUUUAAAUUCAAAAAAAUUAAGUACUCUACAUAAUGAAUGCAGGCUCCUCCCGUGGACCCGUACUACUAGUCUACUAGUUUACUAUUAUAAUAUUCUCUUAUAACAAUGAACCAUAAUUUUUUUUUAAUUUAAUAUGUUGUUUUGAAAAAAAAUUAAUUACAAAAAUUAUUUUAAAAAAUAAAUAACAACGGUGCACUUAAAAAAUAAAAUUUUCUAAUUAUUAAAUAAUAAAAAAUUGUAAAUGAAUUUUAUUACUCACCCAACGGAUAAAAUUUUUUUUGAAUUAAUUGAAUUUAAAAAAAUUCUGAAUUAAUUAAAUUACUCACCCAACGGACAAAUUUUUUUUUGAAUUAACAGUAAAAUUGAUAUGACUACUCAAUUUUACAGUAUAAGCAGUCGGGCUCUGAUUAUCAAUUAAUAUUUUUUUAUUUUUAAUGACAAAAAAUUUUUAAAUUAAUUUCAUAUUUUCAUUACUCACCCAACGGACAAAAAAAAACUGAAUUAAAAAAAUUCUGCAUUAAUUGAAUUAACAAUAAAGUUGAUAUACCUUUCCAAAAAAUAAAAAAGCAAUAAAGUUGAUGGACUUGACUAGUCAAUUUCACUUUCACAGCAUGGGCAUUCAUGACUCAACAAUUAGACUUGACUGGCUUACAGAAUUUGUAAGCUACAGACUGCAACAUCAGCCGUUGGAUGUGGAGUGAGAAGCUAAACAAUAGACAAUCGAAUGGUGGGAAUGGGAUGACAGGAGAUGUUUGUUACAGUCUUGCAGAAUCGGUACCAUAGAGUCAUACAGAUCCCUCAACAAUUAAUUUUUAAUGAUAAAAAUUUUUAAAUUAAAUCAAUUACUCACCUUACAAUUCCAAGUUUCCAACGGACAAAUGAAUGAUAAAAUUUGCUGCAGCCUUGCAGAGUUGCAGGAAGUUUUACAGUUGUAGAUUUGUAGGUUUGCAGAGUGUUUGCCCGUUUUUUACCGUUAAAAUGUUUACUUUUUUAUUUGCCCGUUUCUAGCCGUUAAUAUGUUUACUUUUUUAUUCUAUUUAAACGAUUAAAUUCUUUUCGAAUUCAUCUCACAUUCUCACAUUCUCACUUCUCAAUUUCUAAUUUUCUAUCUCCUCGUUAUCUCUCUUAUCUCAUCAGUCAUCUCAUCUCUAGUCUCUGCUUGACCAAUCUUAUUUGCUACAAUUCCAGCGCCUUUAUUUACCAAAACACUAAUUAUAUAAAAUGUCUCACUCUCAUUUCGAGUUAGAUGAGAAUUUUAAUUUUGUUGAAGAGGGGGAGGAAGUUGCAAAUGAAGAAAUUGCUGCACCAGAAUUUGAUCCAAGUAAUAUAUUUAUUGUCCCACCUGAACGAUCGCCUCCUACUUCUCAAGCAAGUCAAAGUGGUUCUACUUCUUCAACUGCCGGUCCUACUACUACCUCCAAACGACAAAGAACAUCGAUUGUUUGGUCAUGUUUUACUUUGGAAAAACGUCAAAACAAAAAAGGUGAAAUGGUGGAUCAAGCAGUGUGCAAAUAUUGUCAAUCUGCUUUAAGUGCCAAAAGCAAUGGUGGAACUGGACAUCUUAGACGACAUAUGGAAACUUGUCAGACAAAACACGCGCCACAAGACCCAACACAAACCCAACUCUCACAAUAUGGUUCUGGACCUUCCGGUAUAACAUCAUUCAGAUAUUCACAACAGAACAUGCGAGAAGGAUUGGCUCGGUAUAUUGCUGCAGCAGAACAACCUUUAACAUUUUCAGAAGAUGAACGUCUAAUAAAUUUUUUGCAAAGGUAUGUUCAACCUCAACUUAAGAAAGUGCCUAGAAAUACAUUAAAACGUGAUUUAACUAAAAUUUUUCAUGACAUGAAAAAAAUUUUAAUUAAUACUUUUAUCAAUUUUAAUGGUGUUAUUUCAAUUUCUUCUGAUUGUUGGACUGGUAUUAAUAUGGUUGGUUAUUUUUGUGUGACUUCGCACUCUAUACAUGAGAUUAAUGGUAAAUGGAGGUUGGAAAAAAAAUUGCUUGCAUUUCGUGAAUUAGAAUAUCCUCACACUGGUUCAGUAAUUUAUGCAGCUAUAAUGUCUGUUUUAAGAGAAUAUGAAAUUACUGAUAAAUUGUUUAGCAUAUCAUUUGAUAAUGCAUCUGCCAAUACAGCGGCAAUUGAUAUGUUUUUGCGGAAUAUUUCUACUCUCAUGCCUGCACGUGGUUCAAAAAUUUUUCAUGUGAGAUGUGUGUGUCAUAUUAUUAAUUUAAUUGUUCAAGCUGGUAUGACUCAUAUAAAUCAUUAUUUAGAAAAAAUUAGAGCAUCAAUUUUAUAUAUUAGAGCACCUUCAAGACGUCAACAAUUUUUGGAGACAUUGAAAAUUUUUGGAUUGAAAAGGAGAAAAUUCAACCUUGACAUGAAAGUUCGUUGGAAUUCUACGUAUUUAAUGUUGCUUUCUUGUCAAAACUAUUCUGAAGCAAUUUCUAGUUUUUACAAUGAGAGAAUGAAUGAUGAAGAUUAUCAUAUCACUGAUUAUGAUUGGAAUGUUGCAUUUAAAUUUAUGGAUUUUUUAAAGGUAUUUUAUGAUGCUACUCUUGCAUGUUCUACUGUUUAUGAGCCUACUUCAUGUAGAGUGUUAAUGCAUUUGUACAAUAUAAGUUAUACUUUUAAGACUUUUAGAGAGAAUAUUAUGUUUAAAAAUAUUUGUGAUACCAUGGAGGAAAAAUUCCAAAAAUAUUGGAAAGAUAUUCCCCACCUAUUUAUUUUUGCAGCAGUGUUGGAUCCUACAAUCAAGGAAGUUGGUGCAAAACUUUUAGUUGAGGGUAUUAGUGAAAAUUUACAAACCGGACUUGAUACAAAUUUUGAUACAAUUAUGUCCUCUAUGCAUGAACUUUUUAAUUUUUAUCGAAAUAAAUUCGGAUCAAGCAAUACAUAUUCUAAUGUUCAACAAGCAUCGACUUCUUAUAAAAAUCCAGCUCACCUUUUGUUACUCAAAGGUAAGGGUGUUGCCUCUAGUAUUGAUACUAAUCGUAAUGAAUUGCAAAGAUAUUGUUCUGCCAAUCUUGAAGAUUUAGCAACUCCUUCACAAUUGCAAAAUUUUGAUAUUUUAGAUUUUUGGAUGGGUAAGACAUCUUUUUUCCCUAUAUUAUCCAUUAUGGCCCGUGAUCUACUAACCCCUCCAGCUUCAACUGUAGCAUCAGAAUCAGCUUUUAGUACAGGUGGCAGAGUUCUAGAUGAACAUGGGUCAAGAUUGUCAUCAGAGACAUUAGACUCUUUGUUGUGUUUGAAAGAUUGGGAAGAUGCUGAACGCCGAGUGCAACAAGAUUGGCAAAAUGCUUUAAUUAAACAAAUUGAGAGUUUGAAUGUUGAUCAAGAUGAAGUGGAUCCAGAUUAUGCAGAGUACUGAACAUUGAAGCCACUUCCAAAGACUAGAGAUUUUUUUUUUCUUGUAACUUUUUGAAACAAUUUUUAUUAGUGAGAAGGUUGUAAAUUUGCAAAUGAUAGAUGGUUCAGUAGGUGCCAACCUAGUUGGGAUGUACUGUUAACUGUAGUGAUGCAAAUUACACCUAAUUUUAUUUGAAUUACUAAUAUUAUAAUUGUACUUUAACUUCAUUUAAUGAAAAUGUAAUUUUUAAUUUAUCAUAAUUUUUCUUGUGUAUAAAAUGGAAAAUAUUUCAUUCACAAAUUAAACGCAUCUCUAUUAAAUAUUAACUAAGUUAUGAUUUAAUAUUAAUAUGAAAAAUAUUUUAUUAUUAAUUUUGAAAAAAAAAAUUAUUUUUUAUUUAUAAUUUAUAAAUUUAUGAUAUUUAUAAUCUUAUUUAUUAAAAUCAUUAUAUUUAGUUAUUUACUUAUUCAUUUAAUAAAUUAUAAACAUAAAUAAAUAAUUAAAUAAAUAUCAUAAAUAAAAUUAAAUAUCAUAAAUAACAUUAUUCAUUUAAUAAAUAUCAUAAAUAAAAUUAUGAUAUUUAUAAUUUUAUUUAUUAAAAUCAUGAUAUUUACUUAUUCAUUUAAUAAAUUAUAAACAUAAAAGAUUAGAAUAUUUAUUUAAACUAAGAUUUAAUGAUUUAAAUUAAUUUUUAAAAGUCUAUGCUAAAAAAUAUAUUAAAACAUUUAAUUUCAAGAUAUUGUACUUUAAUUUCAUAACAUUUUAUAUUUACUUUUUGUUAAAAAAAUUUACUUAGAUAUAUUUUGGCCCACGUGCUAUUAAUGGGUCACGGGCCGCGUGCUAGCCCACUAAUGAACCGUGCUUAUUACGUGCUUUUUUGCGUGCCGUGCUUUGGCCCAUCUCUAAUCGUGCCGUGCUUUAAGGCCCGCGUGCCUAAAAUUCUAGGCCCGGCACGGCCCACCUGCGUGCCGUGCCGUGCCUCGUGCCUCACCGAAACGUGCUCGUGCCGUGCCGUGCCGUACGGACACGUGCCGUGCCCGUGCCGUGCCACGUGCCGCCCGGCCCAUUGGCCAUCUUUAUCCACAGCAUCCACAUUUGCUCCAGCCUUAAGUAGGAGUUGAGCACAUUCCACCUAAAGCAUUCAAGUGCAUUUGAUUAACUCCAUGUCAUAAACUCGGCCAAUUUGCCAAGGAAGUUUUCAUUAAAAAACUAACUAGAAAGUGGUCCUAAUUAUCCCUAGGAGAUGAACAAUUGAUGCCAUAAACCACAGAAGUUAGCUCAAACUGUCACUAGAAAGCCCCAGUUAGCACAAAUACUAGUUUGCGAUUGGCUUUAUUAGCACUUCCUCAACUAAAUAACCAAAAACACAAAACGUUAAGAAAUAUUUAACUCUAUCCAAAUCAUACGCCCUACCUUUAAAACUCAAACAAAAAGGAACAAGAAAAAUAAGUAACAAUGGGUAAAGCUCAGAUUGUUUUACCUCACCAUAUCCGCAGGCAAAAUGCAACGUUGUCCUUCCUUCUAAAUCUUCCUCAUCCUUAUUAGCACUGGCUGCUAGUUUAUUUUUCAUACCCUAAUUGAAGAGCAGUAAGAAAAAAUUAAACUUUUAGCAAGAUACUAGAAAAAAGUACAUUGCAUCAAAUGUAUACACUAAAUCAACUUCAAUAGCAUUAGCACAACAUAAAACUAGAAACAAGAAUUUCUAUUAAAUAAUAGUGACAUAAAAAAAUUUACAAAUUUUGUUUUGGUUGAUUGAAUAAGCAGAACAUGUUCUUUUUCCACACCAAGUUGCAUUGCAUAAAAGAAAAAGAAUAUUAGAGAAUCAGUAAAUCCAAUAUUUUGAAGAGAACUUAGAGAUUAAUUUGGCCUCCAUAUACUCUUGAAUAGCCUUGCAAGAUGCAUAAGAUUAGUUCACAUCCAGUCCCAAUUCAGGCACAAUAUAAUGGCUACACCCAAUUAAACAAAUUAAAAAGCAAAAUCACAAAAAAUAAAGAAUAAUGCUAGUGAUAUACAAAAUACCAGUCAUUAAAUAAUAAUUUCACCUCUCUUUGAUGAUAACUAUUAAAAACUGAUGGAUGCCGUUGGGACGCAAAUAAGCAUCACUCAAAAACAAAUAAAAAUCUCGAGAACGCAAGUGAGGAAAGGCAAAAUGAUCAAAGAUAAUAGAAAAAACGAGGACUUACUAGUUAGCAUCAAAACACUAGGUCCUUUACAUGAUGAGAACAGAGGAGUUACCUCGAGCCACACUGAUCUUCUUGCAACUCAUCCGUGCUGCUCUUCCUGUCCUAGAAUGACUCCAAACAUAAACCUCAACUCUUUUUUUGGUUUCAUUCCAGAAUACGCCAAUGCAUAGAUUUUUAAAGAUUGCUCUGCAACCCCAAAAUAAUUAACUUAAAAUUCACAACCAAAACAAAAAAAGUCGGACCCAGAACAAUGGGUAAGUUCUUACCAAAUUAUUGAGCACCCAUCUUUAGUAUUCCUAGCAAAAAGUGUAGAGCUCAAAACAAGCAAACAACACCUAAAACCAAACAAGAAAAAAUUAGGGUACCCAUAGAAAAAUAACACUUAAAAACCAAACCUCAAAAAAUCAACCAAAAAAAAAAUUAACUUGUUUUGAGGGUUUUUGAUGGCAGCUUGGGGCAACUCACGGGGCAAUGAUUCCGGCCAAAGCCAGGACGACGACAGUAAAGGCUAAAGAACUAAUGGUGUAGACAACAGUGCAACGAAGGUAACGGUGGACGGUUGGAAAAGAAGCAGCGGGCACGAUACUGGCUCUGCCUCUCUCUAGCUCUCAUGUACUAACCAAAUUCCUGGGUAGAUGGAUCCGAUUGGUUGAUUAGUACGAGAGAGACGGUGGAUUUGAUCUUAGAUGAUGAGUGAAAAAAUCGGGAUGAGAGACACUAUGAAUUUGAAAGAGAGAUGAAAUUUUAGGGAUUUCUUUUUUGAGAGAGCAAAGAAAUCGGAUUGAGGUGAGAGAAAAUUGUGGGAUUUUCUUUUGAAGGAACCGGUUUACCAGGUAACCCAUUUAUUUCUAUUUUUAAUAUAAAUUUAAUCUCAACCGUUGGAUUCAAUUAGAUUGAAUCCAACGGUUUUUUUUCAAUUCCGGCAUGGUGCCGGGGCUUUAAUGCUCGGCAUUGUAGCAUUAGCCUAGAGAAAAAUUUGUGUGCUGGUAUGGACAUAUGGUUGGCCUACUCAUCAGGGACCCACCAUUGGGUAAGUUUAUUAAUUUUUUCAUUUAAUUUUUAGAUAUCAUUAUCGAACCAUUAAAGAUACUAUACUAUUAUAUUAUAUUAUAUUAAUUAAAUACUAAUAUAUUAUAUUAUAUUAUAUUACAUCAUUACUGUAUUAAAAUAAUAUUAUAUAAUAUUUAGUUCUAAUUAUAUUAUAUUAUUUUUAAUUAUGUUAUAUUUGGUGUUGCGCCAUAUUGUAUUGAUUUUUUAUUAUUAAUUUUUAUUAAAAAUUUAAAAAAAUCUACUAGUACUUAGAAAAAAUAUUAAAUUUAAAAUUCUUAAAUUUAAAAAUUUAACAUUAUUUUUUAGUAUAAAUAUUUUUUUAAAAAAUCAUAAUUAUUUAUAAAGAUCGAAGUUUAUGACCUUAAAUUUUGGACAGCAUAACAUUUAUUUUUUUACCUUUUCCAAAAUAUAUAACUUGUGAAAUAAAAAUUGAAGCAAAUAAUUUAAUUAAAUAACCUUUAGAUAAUAUCAAAACAUAAAUAAAAUACGUCCAAUCAUAUUUUUUUAGUUUCAUAAAUUCAAAUUCCACUAUUGCUUAAUCCUUCAAAGCUAGCAACUAAUGCAUUUUCACUUUCAAUCUCAAAGAAUUCAAAACCUCCAUUACUCUCACAUACCCAACAGACUAAUGCUCACAAAAACUAAAUGAUUUGAGAAAAACUCACCUGGAAGCUACAAACUAAUCAAAUAUGUUUAUGAAAUUCAAGAUGUUAAAAGCCUAGCACUAGCACACUGUCUAGUGUCAAUCACGCUUCCUGGACCUCAAAAGGCAUAUCAAUAUUGUUGCAGCUAAGUAAUGCCCAGUUAACAUAUCAAUAUUCUUGCAGCUACGCAUCAGAUGAACACUCAUUUGGAGCCCAUUUCCAUAACACAUCCUCAAAAGCAUAUGACUUUGCAUUGGAAAAUAUCUCUUGUUUCUAAUAUGAAAUGAAAAUUAAAAACAAACGUAUUUGCUAUAGCAGUUCCUUUAUUAAUGAGGAUGAAAUACAUCCAAAUAAGCUGACCAUGUCUGCAAAACUUUGCAAUAAGUAAGAAAACAGCAACAAAACCAAAAAAGUAAACACCUUUAAGAAUUAAAAUCGUUGACGACAUCAUAAGGAAUGGGAUCGACAGUUUCCAAUGUUGCACCUUCUACCAUAAAACUUAGUGACUGCUUCUUUAUACUGAUGACUUCACCUCUUGGCUUAGCUUUAGUCUUGAGUUCCUCAGCUUGAACUCGUUAGUAUCAGUAUACGUUGAAGUUAACAUGCUCCAUGGUAACGUGAAUCCUCUUCUUAAUGAUUUCUGUUACUAACCUGAAUAUAUGCAUAUAUUGAACAAAAUUCAGUAUUCUAUCAUCAAAAAAUGCAUAUGCAGGCAAUUAUAAUCAAUUCAAGCAAGUUAGAAGUCAAUCCCAUAUGUCCAAUUAUGAUGGAGAAGACAAUUUUAACAACACAAUUUAAAAAACUUAUAAUUGCUUGAUUAUAUUCAUUAUAGUUGUUUAUGAUUCCGAAGAUAAAUAUUGAUUCAUGAUUACUAAAAUAAAUGAACUCACAAAAUUGAAUGACUUGAUUUAAGGAUCAUAGAUGAUUUAGCAUUAUGUCUUCUUCUGACAAUUGCAUCUAUCAAUGGAUUAGAAAAGUUUUUAAAUUUUGGAUUUUUAAGGAUUUCUCAAAACUUAUGCUGUAUGUAAUGUCGCAACUUUGUUCAAUCAAUAAUUAACAAUAAAAGUUUAUUUACUAUGCUUUAACACUUCUGCCACAUUCGUCAGUGUACGAAUUGCAAGAAAGAUUGCUCCUCAGAUCCAUCUGAGUUUGGAGUGUAAUACUGCAAGUGAUACAAGACCUAUAGAAAACUCGAAAAGCUCAAAUUUGAAAAGAAUCCUUAAUUCAUAUUUGGUAAUUAACUAAAAACAGUUACAGUAAUUACCAAGUAGUUAGAAAACUCCAUGCUUUUAUAGCCAGCUAUAGAAAGCUUUUAAAUAAUUAAGAAAUAAAAACCAAUUUUUUUCAUUAAUACCGAACAGUUUAUUAUAGGUUUGAGCUACUAAUAAUGCUCAUGCGCUAUUACAUUACUAUCGAUGAAAUUUCCAAAACAGAGGAAAAGGAAAGAGCAAUCAGACAUGCAAAUUACAUUGGCGGAAAUCUUAUCUUUAAAUUGGAUAUCAUAGGCUUGUAACAAAAUCAGCAUGGAGCUACUAGUAAUGCUCAUAUUCUAUUACAUCACUAUUGAAAGAAAUUUGAAAAACAAGAAAAUGAAAGAGCAAUCAGACGUGCCAAUUGAAUUGGUGGAAACCUUAUCUUUAAAUGUGAUCUCAUAGGCAUGUCAUCUGCUACAAGGGAUUAGUUCCUUCAUUGAAAAGCUUGAUAGAGUUGAGAAUUCAACGAGCAAACCCCAAUUGAAGCUUAAUUUGGGGAAUCCCAACCUGAAAUGGCUACGGUAUCAGUCCUGAUGAAGCGACUGCUGCAGCCUUUUAUGGGCAUAUCAGAAAUUUACAACCCCGCUCUGUCCACCUUUCUUCUUCUUCUUAUCCUCUUGCUCACACUUGUACAGUUGCUGAAAAUCACCAGACGUAGUAGUAACCAUCUCAACUUACCCCCAUCUCCACCAAAGCUCCCCAUUCUCGGCAACCUUCACCAGCUUCUGGGAACUCUCCCUCACGCUCUCUCAAAGCUCUUUCGGAGCGGUACGGCCCUUUGAUGUUCGUUUACUUUGGCAAUUCUCCAACCCUUGUGGUUUCAUCGGCUGAGUUGGCUUGUGAAAUGUUUAAACUUCAUGAUAUUGUGAUCUCGAACCGGCCCAAAACCACACCUGCUAACAUCCUCCUAUAUGAAUGCCAAGGUAUCGGGUUCUCUAAUUACGGCGAGUACUGGAGACAAGUUCGGAAGAUUUGUGUUCUUCAACUCUUGAGUGCGAGAAGAGUGCAAUCAUUUCAGCAUGUUAGAGAUGAUGAAGUUUCAAGUUUGAUCACUAAAAUUCGCCUCUCAUGUUUUAAUAAAGGAGGUCCUCUUAAUUUAUCAGAGAUGCUACUUACUGCUUCCAGCAAUAUAGUUUCCCUCUGCGUUCUUGGGAGGAAAGCUGAUGCAGAAGAAGAAAAUACUGGUCAGAGCAAUAAGUUUGGUGAGUUAUCAAGAAGGCUGGAAGAGCAGCUUGCUGCCUUUUGUGUAGGAGAUACGUUUCCAUCUUUGGGGUGGUUAGACGUUCUCUCGGGACUCAUUGGUCGUCUCAACGCAACUGCUAGAGCAAUAGACGCUUUGCUUGAUCGGGUGAUUGAAGAGCACACGAACAGGGCAUCAUCAGGAAGUGAUGAUGAUGAUGACCAAUCUAAUAAAAAAGACUUCGUGGCUAUACUCCUCCAACUUCGAAAGGAUGGCAUCCUUGGAGCAGAGCUCUCUCAGGACAAUCUUAAAGCACUUACCCUGGUCUAACCUUCCUCUUGACUAGCUAGUAUUAAGUAUUAUAAUUAUUAGCUCUCUCUAUAGAUAUUUUACAUCUUUUACACACUUCACGCACGCAAAAGCGCACCCUUGCAUAUACACAUACGUGCAGAUCAAUACUAAUGGUUUUUCAUGUUUCACAUUCUCAGGACAUGUUUUUAGCAGGAACUGAUACUACUGCAACAACACUAGAGUGGGCAAUGGCCGAGCUAGUGAAAAAUCCAACUAGCAUGAAAAGAGCUCGAGAAGAGGUUAGAAGUGUGGCAAAAGGGAAAUUAAAUAUAGACAUGAAAGACAUUGAGAAGAUGGACUAUUUGAAAUGUGUGGUCAAAGAAACUCUGAGGUUACAUCCACCAGUUCCUCUCUUGAUUCCCCGAGAAAUAGCACAGAGGGUCAAAUGGAGAGGCUAUGAUAUUCCUGCAAAAGCUAGAGUGAUUGUAAAUGCAUGGGCAAUUCAAAUAGAUCCCCAGGUUUGGGACAGGUCAGAAGAUUUCUUGCCAGACAGGUUUUUCUCUAACCCGGUGGAUUGUAAAGGCCAAGACUUCCAAUUUAUCCCCUUUGGUGCUGGAAGAAGAGGAUGUCCCGGGAUAUCAUUUGCGUUCGCCACAAUUGAGUAUGUGAUUGCCAACCUUCUGUACUGGUUUGAUUUGAAUUUGCCUCUUGGUGAAGUUGAGGAGAAUUUGGAUAUGUUUGAAGUUAAUGGGCUAGUGGUUCAUAAGAAAUUACCUCUUCAUCUUGUGCCAACACUCUACUCCCCUUACUCUUAAUCUUGAUAUGUGGAGAAAAAUAUUCAUGAUAGUUAUGUUCUAAUCAUGAUUAUCCUCUUUUAAUUUCCCUCGUGAAAAAUUGUACCAGCGUUGUCUAUUUUCUUCUAUGUUUAUGGCUACCUCAAUGAGCAAGUUAUUAUCAAUUUUAUCACCUGUCUAUAUCAUAUUGGUCCUCUGUUUGAUCUUUCUAUAUAUUCCAUCAAUCGGUUGAGAUUUAGGGAAGUACAAAAAGUUAACAAUUACUAAUGGUGCUAGUAGCCGUGGCUGCAAAAUAUCAUAUCCAUCGAGUUGAUGGGAGAUUAAUUACAACUAAUCGGGAACAAAUAAUUAUGAAGCUGAUAGCAUGAAUAUAUAUAUUAUGAUUGACAUUUUGACUGCAACGGCGAAUAUACAUAAUAAUAGCACCAAUCGUGUCGAUGGGAGAUGUUUUGUUAAAAUUAUUUUUUAAUUCUUAUUUUAUAUUCUUGUGGCUUGAAAGCGACUAUGUCGAUCAUUUAUUUAUUUUCUAGUUCUUAUUUUAUAGACACAUAUUGUUAUUUAAAAAUUCCAUAAUUUCGCUCUGGAAAGGUAAGAGAGCAAAAUUUAGUUUAUAGAGUAACACCCAGGUCUAUAACAAUAAACCCAUAAGAAGGAAGCUAAGCAUGCAAGACCAAACUCAAAUGAGUAGGCCUCAUCUAAGAUCCUUGUAAGUGGGUUAUCUUACAUAGAUGAGUCAUGUUAGGAAAUUAAUUGAUGAAAUAAGACCACAACUAAAAUAAAAUUGAAAAAAAUUAAUUAAAAAAAGAGUUGAAAAGUCAAAUUGGAUCACAUCAUUUGAAUUCAAAUUAGAGGCGGUGGAGAACUUUGACAAGCAAUUGAAAGUGGCCAAAACAUAGCUCUUAUCCUAAUAUUUUGGCUCACUACCCAGAAUGAAUUGGGUAGAUCAGCAGUUCUCAACAUAUCUCUUAUCCUUUCUGUAAGAGUCCUAUUCAUUCACUCUGUCACUCCAUUUUGUUGAGGAGUGUAUGCUACCAUGAACUGCCUCUGAAUACCUUCUUACUUACAAAAAAUAAGAAACUCGUUGUUUAUAUACUCUUCACUGUCUCGUCCUCAAGCACUUGAUUCUUUUUUCAUAUUCAAGUUCAACCCGCGCUUUGUAUUCCUUGAACACUAGAAACACAUUUGACUUUUUCUUGGUUAGAUACACCCAACAUAUCCUGGAAUAAUUAUCAAUGAAAGUCACGAUGUAUUUUGCACCUCCAAUGGAUAUGUCUGGUGAUUCCCAAACAUCAAAGUGAAUUAAGUUUAGAAUGUAUUUACUUCUAGCAACAAAUCUACUGAACUUUAAUCUAUGCUGCUUACUUGUAACAUAAUGCACGUAAAAUUAUAAGUUACCGAUUUGAAUCCUAGAGGCAAUUUUCGCUCAGAGAGAAUCUUCAAACUUUGCUCCGAGAUGUGGCUAAGUUUGAGAUGUCACAUCAUCGUUGACUCUUCUCUGUUUGAUGCAACACACACAUUAGCUUCCUGUAGUGUUUGUCCUUUAAGUAUGAAUAGAUUAGCACUGAUCUUUCUGUCUUCAUCAAUACAAGCGCGCCUUUUAAUAAUUUUCAUAAUUCCAUUUUCAACAUGAGUUUUGCACCCAUGACUAUCUAUUUGUCCCAAAAAUAAUAGAUUUUUCUUCAGGCCUUUCACAUGUCGUACCUCCUCAAUUGUACGAAUUGUACUAUCAAAUAUUUUUAUUUUGAUUGUACCAAUACUAGCGAUCUCCAAGGCAUGAUCAUCAUUCAUAUAUACAAAUCCUCCUGAGAUCCUCAAUUGUGCGAAUUGUACCAUCCAACAUUUUUAUUUUGACUGUACCAAUACUAGCGAUCUCCAAGGCAUGAUCAUCACUCAUAUAUGCAGAUCCUCCUGAGAUACGUUCACGUGUGAAACCAUUCUCUCCAAGAGGUCAUGUGCCAGGUAGCUCCUUAGUCUAUAAGCCAGACGUCAUAUAGUCGUUUUCUGCCUUCUGAAACAGUUGUUGCCUCGUUGUAGAGAAUUUCACCAUCAUCUGACUUGCUACACACCCAUGAGCAUUUGAUGACUCAUGUUUUUUGCUCUCUUUUCUCUUCUGGUUGUUCCAACACUCUUUCUUGACGAUACCAUUGGUAAGAAAUUGAGUUUCAUCCUAAGAUCACUCCAAACAAUUUGUCAAGCAACAAAUUAACAAGAAAACUUAAAUGGAGAAUACACCAAUCACACAACACAAGAUUUACGUGGAAAACUCCAAAUCUGAAAAAAAAAACACAGUCAUUGUCAAGAGACAACCAGAGCAAAAAUAUUUACUAGAUGAAAAAUUAUUACAACCACACUCUCAGAAAUAAUUUUCUCUCACCUAAACCCCAAAUAUAUAAUCUCGAGAAAUAUUCCUUAACAAAGUAAACCCAUAAUACCCAUAUUGACGAGCUAAAUGCUCCUUCAAUCUAACUAUAUGCUUAAGAAUAUUUCUCUCUCUCAAUUUCUCACCAAAACUUAGAUCGCUUCUCUAGGAUUUGGGAUGCCAAGCUCUCAAAUAAGAACUUCAUUUUAUAGACAAAAUUUUUCCUAAAAUCAAGCCAAUUUUUCAACAUUCAAUAGCCACCAUUUCAAUAGUUUUGACCACUUCCAAUUGCUUGCCAAAGUUCUCGGCCACCUCCAAUUUGAAUUCAAAUGAUGUGUUCCAAUUUGACUUUUCAACUCUUUUUUUUUUUAAUCAAUUUUCAAUAAUCUAAGAGUCUUGUAAGAAUAAUCAGAGAGCUUGAGUGAUUUUCAAAGCUUAAAAUUAUAAAGCGCUUGUGAGUCCAGUGAGUGAGAGAUUUGGUGUAUUAGGAUUUUGGGUAGUGAGCCAAAAUAUUACAAUACUUGUAAUCCUCAUAUCUCUAGUAAAAUAAUUUCCUUCUGUCUUCGCCUGUAGGCGUAAGGCUAAAAAUCGAACCACGUAAUUUCCUAGUGUCCUCUUUCUGAUUGUUCUUUAUUUUUCUUCUAAUUUUAUUUUAGUUGUGGUCCUGCUUCACCCAUCAAUUUUCUAACAUUGGUAUCAGAGGUACAGGGUUUUUUUUGGAGCCGAUGGUACUGUUCACGUAAAAAUACUAUUCACAUAUACGGUUACUGUUCACGUGAAACGACGGGAGCCGAUCCUAGCAAAGUUAGUUUGUGGUGAAAAGUGAUGGUAGCGAAAUACGAAAUUAAGAAAUUCAAUAGAAAUAAAUUUUCAUUGUGGAAAAUGAAGAUAAAAGUUGUAUUGCGGAAAAAUAAUUGUUUGGUAACAAUUGGAGAAAGGCCCAUGGAAAUAACUGAUGACAAGUGGAACGAUAUAGAUGGAAAUGUCAUUGUUGAUCUACAGUAGGCACUUGCAGAUGGGAUGUUACCCAGUGUGGAGGAGAAAAAGACAACAAAAGAAAUAUGAGAUACUACACAAAAUUGUACAAGGCCAUGUCUUCUUAAAUAUGAGACUUUAUACUCUUCGAAUGACGAAAUCUACAUCAGUGACCCACCACAUCAACACCUUGAAAACUCUAUUUUCACAACUCAUAAUAUUGGGUCAUAAUAUAGAGGAAAAUGAACGUGCAGAGCUUCUACUUCAAAAUUUACCAGAUUCGUAUGAUCAACUCAUCAUCAACCUGACGAACAACAAUCCAAUAGACAGUCUAGUUUUCGACGAUAUUACAGCUUCCGUAUUAAAUGAAGAGAGCAGUCGCAACAAGUAAAAACACUAUUAGUAAUGAGAGGCAGAUCAACAUAACGUGGCCCCAGUGGGAGUCACAAUCAUGGUAGAUCAAAGUCCAAAAGUAAAAAGAAUAUUAAAUACUAUAAUUAUGGUAAGAAAUGACAUGUCAAGAAAGAGUAUUAGAACAACCAUAAGAGAAGAGAAGGUAAAGAUCAUGUGUCAUCAAAUGCUCAAGGUGUGUAGCAAGUACCUCGGAUGAUGGCAAAAUUCUCUAUAGCGAGGCAACAACUGUUUCAGAAGGUAGAAAAUGGCUAUCUGAUGUUUGGUUCAUAAACUCAAGAGCUAUCUAGCACAUGACCUCUCGGAGAAAAUAAUUGAACCUAUCUAAGGAGAAUCUGUAUAUAUGGGUGAUGAUCAUGCCUUAGAGAUUGCUAGUAUUGGUACAAUCAAAAUAAAAAUAUUUAAUGGUACAUGUCGCACAAUUGAAGAGGUACGACAUGUCAAAGGCUUGAUGAAGAAUCUAUUAUCUUAUAGACAAAUGGAUAGUCAUAAGUACAAAACUCAUGUGGAGAAUAGAAUUAUGAAAAUUGUUAAAGGCGCGCUUGUAUUGAUGAAGACAAAAAAGAUCGGUGCUAUUCAUUCAUGCUUAAAGGACAAACACUAUAGGAAGUUAAUGCGUGUGUUGCAUCAAAUAGAGAAGAGUCAACGAUGAUGUGGCAUCUCAAACUUGGCCACAUCUCGGAGCAAAGUUUGAAGAUUCUCUUUGAGCGAAAAUUGCUUCCAUGGCUCAAAUCGGUAACUUACCAUUUUGCGAGCAUUGUGUUACAAGUAAGCAGCAUAGAUUAAAGUUCAAUAUAUCUAUUGCUAAAAAUAAAUACAUUCUAGACUUAGUUCACUCUGAUGUUUGGGAAUCACCAUACAUAUCCAUGGGAGGUGCAAAAUACAUGGUGACUUUCAUUUAUGAUUAUUCCAGGAGAUGUUGGGUGUAUCCAAUCAAGAAAACGUUAGAUGUGUUUCUAGUAUUCAAGGAAUACAAAGCGCGAGUUGAACUUGAAUAAAAAAAAGAUCAAGUGCUUGAGGACAGAUAACGAUGGAGAGUAUACAGACGGCGAGUUUCUUACUUUCUGUAAGCAAGAAUGUAUUUAGAGGCAGUUCAUGGUAGCAUACACUCCUCAACAAAAUAGAGUGACAGAGUGGAUGAACAGGACUCUUACAGAAAGGAUAAGAGUUAUGUUGAAGAUUGUUGAUCUACCCAAUUCAUUCUGGGUAAAAGCAGCCAAAACUCAUAUUAUGUAAUAAAUCGGUUGCCAUCCAUAACAAUUUCGGUUGAAGACUCUGAUGGAGAUGUGGAUUGAAACGCCAAUAGAAUACUCUCGCCUACAUGCAAUCGAAUUUCCUGUGUAAGUAAUGUACAAUUCCCAAGAAAGAGCAAAGCUGGAUUUAAAAUCUAGAAAAUGUAUUUUUUUUAGAUAUGUUGAUAGAGUAAAAUGAUAUCGUUUGUGGGAUCCCGCUGCCCGCCAGAUUGUCAUCAGCAGAAAUGUUAUCUUUGUAGAAGAUCAACUGCAAAGAAGAGAUGAGGAUGAUAGCACUGUAAAAGAAAAGUAAGAGACUGUAUCAGUAUAUGUGAAAAAUAAUUUGGAAAAAGAAGAUUCAGAUUUUUCUAAAGUAACACCAGAGCACGAGGAACAAGAACCAAUCGAGUCCGAGACUCUAGAAGUUUGUUGAUCAACUCGUGAGAGACGACCGCCAGCGUGGCACUCGGAGUAUGUCACACAAAUCAAAGAGUAUGUCACAGAGAUCAAUGUUGCAUACUGUCUUCUAAUAGAGGAUGGAGAGCCAUUAAUUUUUCAUGGAACUUUAAAUAGCUCAAAUAUUACGUUGUGGAUGAUAGCUAUGAAGGAAGAAAUUGAAACUCUACAUAAGAAUAAGACUUGAAAACUUGUACCACUACCAUAUAGAAGAAAAAUUGUUAGAAACAAAUGGAUUUACAAGAUCAAAUGUGAUAACAAUGAUUAAGUGGAACAAUAUUGUGCAAGAUUGGUGGUGAAAACAUAUGCUAAAAAAAAAAGUAUUGACUUCAAUGAGAUAUUUUCUCUGGUGGUUCGACUCACAACAGUCAGAGUAGUCUUAGUAAUGUGUGCUACAUUUGACCUACAUCUCGAGCAAUUAGAUAUGAAAACUACAUUUCUUUAUAGAGAUUUUGAAGAAGAAAUUUGUAUGCUCCAACCAGAAGGUUUUACUAAAAUAAGAAAGGAGAACUUGGUUUACAGAUUGAACAAAUCUCUAUACAGUCUCAAGCAAGCGUCACGUUGUUGGUAUAAGAGGUAUGAUUCCUUCAUCAUGAGCCUUAGAUACCACAGAUUCAGUUCAGACCAUUGUGCAUAUUAUAAGAGGUUUGAAGAUGAUGAUUUCAUCAUUUUACUAUUGUACAUACUACCAACAAAAAUCGAGUUCAAGAACUAGAGGCACAAGUGGCUAGGGAGUUUGAAAUGAAUGACUUAGGACCAUCAAACAAGAUUUUAAGGAUGUAAAUUCAUCGAAACAGAAAUAAUAGGAAGAUUUGGCUUUCUCAUAAUAACUAUUUCAAGAAAAUCUUACGACGCUUCAAUAUGCAAGAUUGUAAACCAAUUUCUACCUCACUUCCUGUUAAUUUCAAGUUAUCCUCAAAUAUGUAUCCUAGCAAUGAAGUAGAGAAGAAAGAGAUGUCUCGAGUAUCGUAUGCAUUAGCAGUGGGAAGUUUGAUGUUCGCUAUGAUUUGUACAAAACCAGACAUUGCAUAAGCAGUGGAAGCAGUCAGUCGAUACAUGGCGAAUCCUGCUGGAAAACAUUGGAAAACUGUGAAGACGAUUCUGAGAUACAUUAAAGGAACCUCUGAUGGUGCAUUAUGUUAUAAAGGAUCAGAAUUUACUGUUGGGGGCAACGCAGAUUCAGAUUUUACAAGAGGCCUUGAUAAGAGAAAAUUUACUACUGACUAUGUGUUUACACUUGUAGGAAGAGCUAUAAACUGGGUUUCAAAACUACAGACCGUUGUGGCUUUAUUUACAACAAAAGCAUAAUACACACAGCUACCUAAGCUUGGAAGGACUAUUUGGAUACAAAGGUUAUGGGUAGAGCUCGGGCACAAACAAGAGAAAAUUUAUGUGUUUUUGUAAUAGUUAGUGCUUUGCACAUUGCAAGAAAUCCAGUCUUUCAUUCUAGAACAAAUCACAUAGCAGUUUAGUACCACUUCGUUCGAGAAAUAGUGAAGACAGAAGUGUAGAUUUGCAAAAAAUUCAUAUCAAAGUGAGCCUAGCAAAUGUUUUAACAAAGUCGAUCAAUGCUGACAAGUUUAUCUACAGUAAAGUCUCUUGUGACCUAGCAGAGAUGUAAGCAACAUAACUAUAGCAAAGCAGGAAGGAUGGUGUGGAGAUUGAUUGAUUCCCAAUCUAAUCUCCAAGUAGGAGAAUGUCAAAACAUUUGGCUGCAGUAUCUAAAAGUUACAUCUAAAAGCUACAUCUAGAAGCAUUGAAGCAACAAAUGUUGAAGGAUUAGGUUCUGUCAAGGAAGAAAAAAAAGUAAGAGUUGAAGCUGCCAAAUUUGAACAAAGACAAAAAAAGAAAGAAGAAUAGCUGAAAUUUGGUAGCAACAUUUUUUUUUAAGAAAGAAAGAGAAGAGUUAAGAAAAGUCAAAGGUGGUUUUAAAAAAAUAUAAUAUUUUAAUAGCCAAUUUUUGGAUAUAAAAAAAGAGCUCUCCAUUUCGUUUUUUGGCAUUCAAUUUGUGAGAGAGAAAGCAGAGAGUUUGAGUGAUAGUGAGUGAGAGAUUGGGUACAUUGGGGUUUUGGAUAGUGAGACAAAAUAUUACAAUAUUUGUAAUCCUCAUAUCACUAGUAAAAUAUUUUUUUUCUGUCUUUGCCCGUGGAUGUAGGGUUAAAAGUCGAACCACGUAAUUUCUUGGUGUCCUCUUUCUACUUAUGCUUUAUUUUUCUUCUAAUUUUUCUCUUUUCUUCUUCAAAAAAACACUGCUGCCAAAUUCCAUUUUUCCUUCUUCUUUCUUUUUUAUCUUUUUUAUCUUUGUUCAAAUUUGACAACUUCAACUCUUCAUUUUCCUUCUUCCUUGGCGACACCUAACCCUUCAACAUUUGUUACCUCAAUGCUUCUAAAUGUAACUUCUAGAUGCUGCAGCUAAAUAUUUUGAUAAGUCUAAGUACUAGGUAUUUAACCUUUUUUUUUGCCCCCUCAAUUAACUGCUGAUCACUCACCUAAAUUUUUGCUCAGUAAUUUACAAAAGGUAAUGCUUGUCUAGAAAAUAUUUUAAAAUAGAAGUCCUGUGUGUAGAAUAUUUCAAAAUGUUGCAAGUUUCCUAAAACACAAGUACAUCAAUAUAUUAUUCUAUCAUAAGAGUUUUUAUGCACCCAUUAAACCAAUUAACACUAAAAAAUUAAUUGCUUUACAUGUGAGCUAGAUUAAUUUGAACUUCAGAUCUCUUCUUCCAUAAGAGAUUUUAUCCAUUGAAACCACCAAUCCAAACACCCACGCAAAUUAAUUAAAGAUAAAUUGAGAUAGCCCACAGGCUGCAGCAACAAAUUUCCUAGAUGUCUACUGAACAAAUGGAAUUCUACAAAGUGUUAAUUUCUAUUAUAAAAAUGGCAUUAAAUUAAACCAUAUACACCAAUUAUGAUGGAGAAGACAAUUAUAACAACACAAAUUUAAAAAACAUCAAAAAAUAAAUCAAUCUUCCCAAAUAUCAAUCUCAAUGGUCCGAGUACCAAUUUGCCCUCCAAUCACCAUCUCUUUAUCCAAUAAAACUAAAUAAUUAAAAUUUUAUACAGCCAUCAUCAUUUCAACACCAACCUAAACUCAAUCCUCAAACACCUAACUCUAAACUCAGCACAUGAAACAACAAAAUAGAAAUGAACAUGAAAAGAUUGAAUGAACAACAUCAGAGUUUUUUUUCCCCCUUGUUAAACCUAUCCAUAUUUGAUAUUCUUCCCUGUCAAAUUUGGUUUACAUUCAAAGCAACUAAAAAAUUCGUAAACAAACAGGUUAUUAAAAAAAAAAAAAUUGAUUGAAAACUUCAUUCAACUACAAUAGUACAUUAAGCAAAAAGUUCAUAUUUUUUUAUAAUUAAAAUAAAAUCUCAAAAUAUUUAAAUACUAAAAUUUUCAUGCUUUCUACCCAAAUUGUGUUGUUCGCUGCAUUUUCUUCCAUAUGAUGUUUAAAUAUAAAAAUCUUUUUUUUUUUAAUUACCAAGCAAAGAAUCAGAUUGCGUAAUUCACUGUACAUAACCAGUUCUUUCUCUUGCUCUAUUUUUUCGAGCAGUUACAAACAAAAAUUACCAAAAUCCUUCUUCAAUGCCCACCACCUAAAAAACAAAAGGAUGCUUAUGCAUCAUCAAGCUAUAAACUAUAUUUCUAUUUGCAUAUAAAAAACAGUUUCAGAAUAACCCAGCAUUUUCAAUUUAACUGGUGAGCAUGGAAUAUCCUAAGCCAGAUCAAAAUUCAAAACCACCAUGGAAAAUGUGUAUGGAUAAUGUUAAAUACCAUAUUAUUCAUUUUGAAUGACAAACAAAAUACAAACAAAAAUUAUUAAAAUUCCAUCCUUUAUCCUAUAAUUUUUAAUUCUUGUACUUCUUUUUCAGGUAUCAGAUUUCUCGGACACAGAACAUGAACAAGCAAAAACAAAUUUUGUGGUAUUUAAUAAAUGCAACUUCCAAAAUAUACCAUUACCAGACCAAAUUCUUUUUUUUUUGUAUAAAUUUUAAGCUUUUACAGACACAGUAUCAGAAACCAAAAAAUUAUUAAAUUUUGAAGGUAAAAAGGGAGAGACAAUUGAUAAAAGGCAAAAAUUGAAAAUAAAAUAAAAUAAAAGAGUAAAAAAAGUAACUGACUCUAUUCUAGCAAUAGUCAUCUUCUUCUUGUAAUAGUCAGCCAUGAAUAUUUAUUGGACUUAAUAAUUCAAACUAACAAUUCAGAUCUAAACAAAUUCAAUAGUUUAAAUCUCACCUAAUUCAACAAUUCAAUUCAAAUCAAACCCUAACCUAAAUCAGUCUAAAAAUCAAAUCAGACCCUAACACAAAUCAAUUUAAAAAGCAAACCAUACUAACUUGUUGCUUGAUGAUUGUUGAGGUGAAGAGAAGGCACGGUGAUGUUGAGCUUCAGUGGUCAGGUCUCAGGUACACCAUCUUAAAAUACUGACUUAGUAUACCCGAACCCACCUCUAAUUAUUUGGGUAAGUGACAUUUGGAGGAAAAAAAAAAAAUCUUAUUGAUUUCAUUGUUUGUCAACUUUGUGAAAAUGAUAUGAAACCACACCAAAUUUUCAAUUACAAAAGUUAUUUUUUUUCUUUGCUUAAUUUUUUUUAAGGAAAAACAUUGUUUUCAAGUAAGUCGAAUUUAGUAUUAUAAAUUUAUUUUCUAAACAAAUUGAGCUACAAAUGAGAUAGUUUGGCGGUGGAGAUAUUGUAGUUUCAAUAAUAGAAGAACAAAAUGAUUCGUCAGUUGCCUUUUGAUUGAAGUUACUGCUUUUGGCACUCUCAAGAACCAUUUGCAAAGGAUCCUUCUCAUAUGCUGCUUCUUCACUACCUUCAGUCUCAAAUUACGAACCUCCUUUUCUGAUCUCCACAUAUAUCUGUUGCUUUUUGUGGAAAGAUACUUACAACAAGUUAUGGCAUAAAUAAAUUGAUGAUGAGAGUAUUGCAAAAAAUAAAAAAUAAAAAAUAAAAAAAUAAUACUCUGUUUUUCAUCGGAGGAGUUGCCUUGUCCACUAAUAGAAGGCUCACCUCAUGCCUGGAAUCUUUGAUACUAGACUUUUCGUGGACAAAUUCUCUCCAAGAGUUAUUAGUUUCAAGAAAAUAUUUUCUCCUUUAGACAUGAUUGCUUCCAAAACAAGCUCUUGAAAUAAAAUCUCUAGACAAAUUUCUCAUAUACUCAUCCAUUUUUAUGUCAGCUAUUUCAUUUUUUGUCACUACUUUGCUUUUCCAUGACUCGUAUUAACUUAUUCGUCGACUCACUAAUUAAGUUCAUUAUUCCUUAAAAGGAUUUUAUAUAUCAAUUUAUGUUUUUAUUAUUGUACUAAAACAAAUAAAAAUAUUUAUAAAAUUAUUCUUAGGCGUUGACGUACGUCCACACUUUAGAAAGUACAAACGGGAUUAUCUUUUUACCAAAUGCCUUAAUCUUAUUCAAAUUAAUCUAAAAACACUUGUUCUCUUUCACUCUUUCGAAGGAUAAAAUAAUACAUUUUUCCUUUCUCCCCAACUGAUCGAUUUCGUUCAGGUCACCAAUUUUCUGUCCAUCCCUAACGUUAAUGUGUUAGCUUUUGCAUUUUGUAAGUUACCAACCCAGCUGUUCCAAAUUUAAGCAAAAAAUAAUUACUUUUUUUUCAUAAUUAAAGUGAUUUUAUUUUUCUCCAUUAUUAUAUAUGGUCACCAAGUACACCAAGUUUUGAUGCAAAAAGAUUUUGUAAAAUGUUUUGGGAAAUUGGAGUACUUAGCUUGCAAAUUUCAAGGUUAUGCCAUGCAAGUCCAAAAGCAAACGAGAGUAUGGUUUGUGAGGAAACUAUUGGGCCGGGCCCUUGAACGAAUUAGAGGGACUUGUGCAGCCUAUUUGUUUUAACGAAAUCAAUAAAACUUAUUUUUGUAAUUUAUAGAUCAUAGUAUGAAAACCUCUCUUAACAUGGAAAUUCUAAUUUUUAGGAGCCCCAUCGUGUUUAGUAAAACAUCAAGUACAUCCAUUUAGAUUACAUUGAAGUUGAACUUUUUUUAGAAAAAAAUUCUACUUUAAAAAAAAAAGGAAAAAUAUCCACCGUCCACCUAUUUUUUUCAACUUUUUUAAAAAUACACAAUUCUUUUUUUUUUUUGCUGGAGUCCACUUAAAGUUAUAUUUUGUUUCACUUUUCCACUUUCGUUUGGAAUCCGUUAAGGAAACUAAAGGAAACUUAAAAAAAUGACCAUUUUACCCCCAAACAAAAAUUAUAAUUUCACUAUAAAAAAUGCAAAAAAUAAUCAGAUUUAAUAAUGAAUAUCAUUAUUGGUACGUUAAUGAAGUACAAAAAAAUCUUAACUACUAGAGAUUAUAAUUCAAUGAAUAAUAAAAUUCUACUUAUCUUAAAUUCAAUUGAUGGUUUGCGAGAUUGGGCUAUUUUUAAUACUACUGUUAUAAUUUAUCAUUCUAAUUACAUACAUAUUUAAAAAAAAAAAAACCAUGCAUUUGAUGGUUGUGGAAUUAAUUUCUUUUAUUAACAGAUGGGAAAAAUAAUUAGAUUUAAUCUGAUUAUUUUUGGUAAUUUUUAGGGUGAAAUUGAAAUUUUCUUUUAGGGGGGUAAAAUGGUCAUUUUUUUAGGUUUCCGUUAGUUUUCUUAACGGAUUCCAAACGGAAGUGGAAAAGUGAAACAAAAUGUAGGUGGAUUCCAGCAAAAAAAAAAUUGUGUAUUUUUGAAAAAGUUAGAAAAAACAGGUGGACGGUAGAUAUUUUCCCCAAAAAAAAAAUAGAGGGAUAAAUAAAGUUUGAUUCUUUUUUUUUUAAUUUUCUAUUAAGAUUCAAACUUAUGUGACUAGCCAAAUAAAACUACUUCAAAAUUAGUUGUAGGUCAGUUGCAUUCAAUUUAGCAUCGACCACCUACUUGUUCCGCAGCUCCUUAAUUUCUUUUGUCUUUUUACUCAAAUUAUCACGUAAAAUUCCAUUAUUGAUUACAUGUAAAAAAGUAGAUCUAAAAUUAAUUAUCGAGUACAUGCAAUGCGAUAUAGAUUUAGAAUUAAAAUGUACCAUUUAGUGGGAAAGCCAACUUAAGUCUAUCCUCUUUUCAAAAAUGCUUUUAAUUUCCUACCUUAAGUUUGUAAUUAGUACCCAUCCAUCCAAAUGUUAAUAUGGUUAGAAUAUUUAAAAGAAUCCACUAAAAUAGCCAUUUUACCCUUCAAUUUAAGAGCAAUUAUGUCAUCUAUUUCAAGUUUAUUCUCUUGUAAAAAGAUAUUAUAGAAGUUUGAAUUUAUUCAAUUUUUCAGCCUAAAUUUGUAAUUGGUGUCACAUAUCCACUAAAACGUUAACACUUUUAGAAUGCUUAACAUAAUAUAAGUAUAACAACCAUUUUACCCUUGAAUUCAAGGACCUUUUUUUUUUUUUUUUUAACUUUGCACCAUAAAUUAAUAAAAUAAAUUUUGAAAAAAUAUAAUUAAAAUAUGAAAUCUCUUUCUUUCAAAACAAAAUCGCCCAACAAUUUUUAUCUCAUCAAAUCCUUCUCAAGCACAUAAAACCAAAAGCAAAACAAAAUACAUUUCACUUUCUUCUUUCUUAUCUUCUCUCUAUAUAAAUUUUUAUGGUUCACAAAAUCAAUAGUGAUAUGUAUCAAAUCCUUUAUAACCAAUAUCCUUCAUCGCUAAAUCCUUCAACCAUCUAUGAUAAUUGACAAAAACAUGCAUUGGGCUAUAAAGAUCUGCAAUUGAGGAAUCUUGUGGUAGUUGUAGUUAUCCAUGAGGCUAAGUAAAGCAGUAGCGACAGUCAUGGUCAACGACAAUGGUGGCCAUGAAACAGCAAGUUGGAUUUGAUUGGGUGUUUACGAAAUCAAAUUUAAGAAUUGGAGUGAUUUGGUGUCCAUAAAUUAUGGUUUAGGGUAAUUUGUGGAUUGAGUUUGAUUAUAAAAAUUUGUGAAGGUUAAUUAAGAAAAUAAUUAGAUACUUUUAAGCAAGGAAGAAAUUAGAGUGUUUAUUAUAUUUAACUGAAUAUUAGUUAUAAAAACUAUUUUUUUCCUUUUUUCUAUCAUAUUAAACAUCUAGAUUACCCUUAUGACGCCAUUAAAUAUAAAUGGCAGUUAAUAUUUUAGUGGACGGUUGAUACAAAUUGCAAACUUAGGGUGAAAAAUUAAAUAAAUUCAAACUUUCAUAGUAUUUUUUAUGACUGAAUAAACUUUAAGGUGGAUAACUGAUAAUAUCUCAAUAUUUAACAUCUUAAUUGUCUAAAUCACCUUUGUCACGUCAUUCAUUAUGAACAACAGUUAAAGUUUUGGUAGACAGUUGGCACAAAUUGCAAAUCAACUUUGCUGAAAAAUACUACAAAUUCAAACUUUUGUAGUAUCGGGUAAUUGUGUAACAAGGGAUUAGGCUAGUUUUACAAUUCACAUGUAUAAAUAAUUAAGAUGUCAUGUUGCAUGAAUGAUAUAUAGUUUACCAAAUUCUUUGUGCAUUGUUUUUUUUUUAUGUUUACUACACACUAAGCGCUUGUUUAUGUAUCAAUGUCAGUAUCUAAGCAUUCAAAAAUUUGACUUCACCCUUAUCUUUCUCAAAUUCUACGAAGAAAUUUCCAUCAAGACAUAGUGAAGUCAAAUUUUCAUCGACAUACAUCCACAAAAUAUGGACUUUACACAGAUUGAGCCUAAUGGUACUGGAAAAUUAUGAAAAAGAAAAAACAGAAAAUAUCAGAAUGGUUGAUUCAUAGGACUAUAAUAACAAUUUAAAAUUUUGUGCUUCAACUCCAUUCCUUUAACAAUAUAUAUUUUGGAAACAAUUUAAUUAACUCAAAAUCUAACAACAUGUCGCAAUAUAAUAGAACUUGAUAUAUAAUUCACACUACCAAAAUACAAAUAUUAUUGUAUUUUAGCUCACUACCCAAAAUCUCAAUACACCCAAACCACUUCCUGUUAAUUUCAAAUUAUCCUUAAGUAUGUGUCCUAGCAACGAAGUAGAGAGGAAGGAAAUGUCUCGAGUACCAUAUGCAUCAACAAUGGGAAGUUUGAUGUUCACUAUGAUAUGUACUAGACCAGACAUUGUACAAGCAGUGAGAGCAGUUAGUCGAUACAUGAUGAAUCCUGGUGGAGAGCAUUAGAUAACUGUAAAGAAGAUUCUGAGAUAUAUUAGAGGAACCUCAGAUGUUGCAUUAUGUUAUGGAGGAUCAGAGUUUACUGUCAGGGGCUAUGUGGAUUCAAAUUUUGCAGGAGACCUUGAUAAAAGAAAAUCUACUAUUGAUUAUGUAUUUACACUUGCAGGAGGAGUUGUAAGUUGGGUUUCAAAACUGUAGACUGUUGUGACCUUAUCUACAAUAGAAGCAAAAUACAUGGCAUCUACACAAGCUUGCAAGGAAACUAUUUGGAUACAAAGGUUCUUGGAGGAGUUUGGGCACAAACAACAAAAAAUUUAUGUGUUUUGUGACAGUCAGAGUGCCUUGCAUAUUGUAAGGAAUGCACACUAGGAAAGUUUUCAAGAAAGACUGGAGAGGUCACAAUGGUCCCACUUAAAACCUAGACUCCUUAGUCUCUUAUCGCCUUUUGUGACAAAACUUUUCUAAACAUGUAAAAAACCACACAAUUACUCCACUCACACCACUAUUCCCUGCUUUGCACCACAAAAUUCUUGGAUUGCUCCCAUCGUUUCUCGUGAACAGUACUGUAUAUAUAAACAGUACCGUAUAUGUCAACAGUACUCCCGACUCCAAAAAUACAACCAAUAUCUCUGAUACCACUGAUGGAAAAUUGAUGGGUGAAGCAGACACGCAACUAAAGUGAAAAUUGAGAUAUAUUGAGACACAAAAUCACACAGGGAUACCAGAAAUUAUGUGGUUCUACUUUUAGCUUACGUCCACGGGCAAAGACAGAAAGAAAAUAUAUACUAGUGAAAAAGGAGUUACAAGUAUUGUAGUAUUUUAACUCACUACUCAAAACUUCAAUACAUCCAAACUCUCAAAUCACUACUCUCUUAAAUGAAGAAGAAAAAACUAAAGAAAAUUAUAUGAUUCAAAUGAGGGGGAGAACCCUUUAUUUAUAGCCAUCAAAUGGAUACUAUUCAUCUUUUUAUUUUAAUAAUAUUAUUAUUUUAUUAUUUUAUUUCUUUACCCUGAGCGGUGCGGCAUCUCUUUCUUCUUCCUUUUCUUUUUCCCUUUUUUGCUUUGGCUCAGUGCCCCACCGCUCACCUUUUUGACAUUUUCAAAGAAAAUGUAAUAAUAAAUAAAUAAGUGAUUGUUUGGGGGAUAUACUGCAAUCCUAAAUUUGAACUACAGUAUUGGGCAUAGUUUAAACAGCCUUGAAUGCACUUUAAGUUUCUUGUCACCUUUUUAUUUUUUAAACUAUUACUCAAGAGUACAACUCAUAUUACAUAAGAUUACAACUGAUAAUUACAAAUCAAACUAUUACUGGAAUUAGUUUACAUCAAUUCUUAUGAAACUCGCCUAGAUUUUACUCUCUUUAAUAUUCGAGAGAUGUCUCCUCCCCUCAUAUUUUAAAAGGGAGAAAAUUAUCUUCACUUAAAGUAAGAAAGGAAAUUAAACCCCCACAAUGUAUUGUGGGGGUUUGGUGCUUGUGAGCAAGGUCUCUAAGACUAACUCCAUAUUCAAACUUUUAAAAAUAAUUAAAAUAAUAAAGCAAUGAUAAAUAAUUAGAAUUGAUUUUAACCGUUGAAACAAAAUUCAAUGAAUGAGUAGAUAAAUUGAAUAUGGGAUGAAAUAUUACUUCAAUUUAAUAAUGAAACAAAAGAUAUGCAAAUUAGGAAUUAUUUUUUCGCAGCGUGAAUAUAGCAUGAAUGGACCCAAAUUAAAAAUGAUGAGUUGAAUUACCACUUUCAAUUUUCUUUCCAGUUAACGCGUUCGGCAUUUACUAACCGCAUUCGGCAUAUACAUGUAUUUACUAACCAAUAAUUAGAAUAAGAAAUAAAAAUUAUAAUAAAUUAUUUAUUUUAGUUGUAGGAAUCAAAUCAUAACAAACUAUAUUGUCACUCAUCUCUCUAUUUUAUCUUAAAAUCAUAAUGAAUUGUUUUAAAUUAUAAAAAUACCCUUAGUUUAUUUUUAAUAUUAUUUUAUUAUUUAUUAUAUAAUUAUGAUUAUUAUUAUUAAGAAAAUUAUCAUUAUGAGAUUAUGAUUAUUAUUGUUAAUAAUAAUAAUAAUAAGCAUUAUUAUUAUUUUUCUCUUUGAUUUUAUUAUUAUUCUCUCUUCUGUUUCAUCUUUUUCGUCCUCUCAUCAAUUUCGUUUCUUCUUCUUCAUCAACAUCUUAAUUCAAUUUCAUCUUCGUCAUAAUUACAUCAUUAAUAAUAAGGACUCAACUACCUUGCAACAGUUGCAAGGUACCAUCUGAUUUUGUUUUCUUGUGUUUUCAAUUCUUGACUAUUGGAUUUAAUGAAAAGAUAGAUUUAAGGGUAGAGAUUCGUUUAUUUGAAUAUUAGCAUUAUACUCCCUGAUAUUUAUCAAAACGUAAAAAGGCUAAAGAAUUAAAACUUUUAGCACAUAAGUCCAAAUUGUUUAAAAUUUUAUGUUGUUUAAUCAGCAUAGUGAGUCAACAUGUUGCCAAAGUAACCUCUCUUGUGAAAAUUAAUUUAUUUGGAAUAGACAAGAUUCUAUAUAUGUAAUUUCUAUAAAUAUCAAUCGGCCCAAAGGAAGAUCCAUAUUUAAUAGAAUUACAUGUGCAUUUGUGGUAAUAAACACGUGAUGAUUAUUCGGUUUUACAUGUGAAUAAUAAAUCGGCCCAAAGGAAGAUUUAUUGUUUGACAUGUUCUUAUUAUUAGUGUUUGAUUACUACACCAAGAUAUCACUUAGAAGUUAAUAUUUUGUUCAAUGAUGAAAUACUAAUAGAGUGUCUGGUAUCUUGAGAUGGGGUUUACCUUUAUUUGAACUUAAUUUUGUUUUAAGACUAAUAUGAGCUUGUGUUUGUUUAUUUGUUGUUUUCUGAUUCAGUUAUGUCUGCUGUUAAUAUUACGGCCAACAUCAAUUCUAUUCUUAUGCUAAAUGACUCUAACUUCAAAUCAUGGCAAGAGAACAUCUUAAUAGUUCUCCCAGUCAUAGAUCUUAACCUUGUGUUAAGGGUUGAUAUUCCCCCACCUCUUACGGAGGUACCCUUGAUGAUAAGAAGGAUAUAGAAAGGUAUGAGAGAUCAAAUAGCAUGUGUAUCAUUAUUAUGAAGAAGGUCAUUCCAGAAGCAUUUAGAGAUUUAAAGUGUGAAAAUGUAGCUAUGGCUAAAGAGUUCCUUACAUAGAUUGAACAAAGGUUUGUCAAGAACGAAAAGGCUGAAAUUGGUACGCUCUUGACAAGUCCAAUUUCAAUAAGGUAUAAGGACAAGGAUAAGGGUAGAAAAGAAACAAGAAUAAGAAAGUUGCAGAUACAACACCUCAAAAGAAACAACAAAAGAAAUCGGAUGAUCUAGAAGCCACCAGUUGUCUCUUUUGCGAAGCUGAAAGGAAUGUUUUGGUUUGUUAUGAGGUUAAUUUAACUGCGGUACCUAGACACACGUAGUGGAUAGAUUCUGGUGCAAUCGCUCACAUUAAUGUGUCUAUGCAGGAUUGCAUGAAUUGCGGAAAGCCCAAUGAUGGUGAAAGAUACAUCUAUGUGGGUGAUGCAAGACGGUUGAAGUUGAAGCAAUUAGAAAAUUUAUAUUAUUAUUAAAGACCAAAUUUUAUUUGGAUCUUGAUGAAACAUUUGUUGUUCUGUCUUUUAGACGAAACUUGAUGUCUAUUUCCGCUUUGGACAAAAAUAGUUAUUCAUGUUCAUUUGGAAAUGGAAAAUUUAGUUUGUCUCAUGAUUCAAAACCGGUUGGUUCCGGUUCUUUGUCAAGUGAUCAUAAUCUUUAUAUGCUUGAUACAAUUGUUUCAUUUAAUGAAUCCCUACAAUUAAGUACACGAUGUUUAAACAGAAAAUUAACCAAUGAGAAUUAUGUUGCGUUAUGGAAUAAGAGAUAUGCAACAACACUAGAGUGGACGAUGGCAGAGCUAGUGAAAAAUCCAACUAGCAUGAAAAGAAUUAGAGAAGAGGUUACAAGUGUGGCCAAAAGGAAGUUUGUUGAUACUAAAAUUUGGAUUAACUAUGUGCUUACGAACGCAGAGACCGGUCUUAAAGUUCUCUAUGAGUUAAUGGGAGUUGACUCUUGAAUUGGAAUACUUAAUUUGUAAAACAAGAAAAUCGUAAGGGCACAGCACGAAAAACGCUCUUGAUACUUAAGUCAAAAAGAGAUGAGAGCUUCUAGGUUUUUUUUUUUGUAAUACUUAUCUCCAAAUAUAAUAACUUACCUUGUAACAAGGAUUUUUUUUUUUUUUGGGUCUCACCUACUUUCCCAUGCCUUACUUCCUCUUAAAUUCUAGUCUCAUGCCUUCGCCCCACCAUUUACUUAGUUAACCGUAUGCCUACUCCCACACUAGCUUUGUCCUCUUCUUAUGAAAAUUUUUUUGGCUCUUCACCAAAUUACUCAAAACUUAAAGAGUAUUUGGUUGUUUAUGUUACCCUUGGCUUAGACUAUAUUCCUCUUACAAGCUUGACAUUCAUUUCAAACCUGUGUGUUUCUCGGGUACUUUCUCACUCAAAGUGCUUAUUUAUAUUUUGACCCUUCCAUGUCAAAAAUUUUUGUGUCCCGUCAUGUCAAUUUUGUCGAGUCAAUGUUUUCUUUUGCUCCUAUUUCCAAUAAAUCCUCAUGUCCACAAGCUAACAUAAUUGAUACAUGGAUCCCUCCAAUUAUUACUGUCCCCAGUCAAGUAUUGCCACUCUCCCCCCAUCCGAUAAGCCAACGUCCCAGCUGCCCUUGUGUGAUGAUCCUCCAACUAUCAUCAUCUCCACUGAAUCUACACAUACACCUGUAUCUCAACAGCCAUCGUCAUCAACUCUCUCACUUCGACUGACUCUGCUAUUGAAAAGUCAAAAUCGGUGAUUUGCUUAUUCAAAUUGGUUGAAAAAGGAAAGGUAAGCCACAUGCAUAAUUGACUAUUUGGAGGAAGUUGGCACCGCAUGCAUGCAUUUGUCAAUUUUGAAAAAUUUAAUUGCAGAUUUAAUUGACAAUUUGACAAAGGGUUUGGUACAACAAUGCAACCAUUUUGGCUAUAAAUAAAGAUGCAUUCUUCACUUGGAAAUCAUCCAAAAAACUUGAGAGCAUCCCAAAAUUGAGAGCAACAAUUCAAGUAAAGAAUUGAGAGAGUGAGCAAUUGGAGAAUGUUUGUGAUUGAGAGGUUUUUCCUUUCAAGUAUAUGAGAGUAUUGUGUGUAUUUGAGUUUUGGGAAGUGAGAUUUCUUUACUCAAAUUUUGUACUCCAAUAAUUGUUAGUUAUACAAUUAUUUUCUCUUGCUCCCCUGGAUGUAUGCAUAUUGCCGAACCACGUUAAAUUUUGUGUUAUUUAUUUUUCUGCGAUCAUUUGGUGCGCUUGAUUUCACAUUCUAAGCACAACAUCUGCACAUUUGAUUUUACCUCUACAGAGACCUAUAUCUCAACCCCGCCAAACUUCUAUAGAAAUAACUCCCGUCCCUUCUUCGAAUCCCACCUUACUGGUAAGAGCAAUAAAUUUGGUGAGUUAUCAAGAACGCUGGAAGAGCAGCUUGCUACCUUUUUUAUAAGAGAUGUGUUUCCAUCUUUGGGAUGGUUAGAAAUUUUAUCGUGACACAUUGGUCGUCUUAACACAACUGCUAGAGCUUUAGACGCUUUGCUUGAUUAGGUGAUUGAAAAGCAUAUUAAUAAGGCAUCAUCAGAAAGCGAUGGUGAUGAUGACCAAUAUGAUAAAAAGAACUUUGUGGAUAUACUCCUCCAACUUCAAAAGGAUAGCAUCCUUGCGGCAGAGCUCUCUCAGGACAUUCUUAAAGCAAUUAUCCUGGUCAGUCCCUUCCUGUUUAACUAGCUAGUCUUAAUUAUUAGCUCUCUCUAUAUCUUUUACAUCUGUACACAUCAUGCACGCAAAGGUGAACACUUGCAUAUACAUAUACAUACACAUCAUGACUAAAGUUUUUCCAUGUUUCACAUUCUCAGUACAUGUUUGUUGUAGGAACUAAUAGUACUGCGACGACACUAGAGUGGGCAAUGGCAGGGCUAGUAAUCCAACUAGUAUUAAGAGAGCUCGGGAAGAGGUUAGAAGUGUGGUUAAAGGGAAGUUAAAUAUAGAAAUGAAGGACAUUGAGAAGAUGGACUACUUGAAAUGUGUCGUUAAAGAAACUCCGAGGUUACAUCCACCAGUUCCUCUCCUGGUUCCGCGAGAAAUAGCACAGAGGGUCAAAUGGAGAGGUUAUGAUAUUUGAUAACUCUAGGAAAUGAGAGUUAUUACAUCCUUUCUAGACUUAAAUCAAGAUCAUUUAGAGAUCAAAUAAGGUGUUUUUAUUACAUUUUGCAUAAACAUUCAUUUGGGUUGAGUUUUAAUAAAUUUUGCUUGAAUCAAAGUAAUUUGUGCCAAAAACAGGUGUAUAAUUGUAGGUUUUUAGAAAGUCUUAAUUCAUGAGGGGAUGUUGAGACAUUAGAUGAGCAAGAAGAGGAAAGAAGAUGACCACAAAAGAAGUAAAGCACAAUCGGGAAUAGUGCAGUGUGGUUGCGGAUGUUAGAGCAACCAGUGUUGUAACAAUUUGGGAGCAAUGUGGGAGAAAACUUAGGCGCGGGUCAGCCACAAAAUCGCAAUCUGCAUGUUUCCUAAUUUAACGCACGCACGCUCAUGGGCUUUUGUUUACCCUAAUUUGCAAUAUAAAAGGGAGGCGUGCACGACAUAGAAGGCGGCAAGGGAAUUAUCAUUAGAUUAAUUUCAAAGGAAAGAAGAAGAAUAUCAGAAUUGGAGAGUGUUGUUUCGGCAACAUUGAAGAAUCGUGUAGAAUUAUUUGGAUUUGUUUUUCACCGUGCUCAACUUAUAUUUAUAUUCUUCCUUUAACUGUUUGAUGUGUCCCUUGAACAAUAUAUUUAUAUUUAUUUUUCUCAUUCAGAAUAUGAACUAAAUUUACUCGUAGUUGAGUGACAAAUAAUCCAUUGGGUUCUUGACUGUUCUUAUAUGUCGUUAUGUCAUUGCUGUAGCAUUUUACUCUAGUAGUUUUUAUGAAUAUAACUGUUAUUUCGGUUGACCACCCAUUUGAUAGUUUCAGUUAAGAUAGAGCAGCACAAGGGCAUAUCUUAGUGGAUAUUAUUAGAGUAUUACUUGAUCUUAAGUUGAGUUUCCUGGAUUAAGUUAUCUUGAAUCCCAUAAGGGCAAUACUUGAUGUUGAGAUUUGUGACACACUAGACAUAGGUGUUCACCUUGUAGGGUGGAGAGACUAAAGAUCAUAAUGCCAUGCUAUAAGUAGAUUAGCAACUGGUCAAUGUUAGUAGAUUUAAGGGUAUGAGACUUCCAAUAUGCGAUAGCUGAGGAUGCAGAUUUAUUCUGCCCAGUGCUGCAACACUUGCCGUAACAACUGGUGCUAAUUUGAUAAAAAAAAAAAGUCACCCCCAUAAGGAGGGUUUGAUCAUUCAACUACCAUAAUCUCAAUUGAAUCUUAGACACAUUUUACAUAGUUUAUUUCAUUACAGUAUUGUUUUAUUUAAUUCUCUCACAACCAUUAAUUACGAUAGAAAUUACUUUACAAUUGUUAGCUUCGGCCUUAAGUUGAUUUGCACUAUUGUGAUUGCUAUAGCAUUUCGAGUAACAUCAAUCCCUGUGGAGACGAUCUUGAUUACUUAUCACUUUAUUACUUGUUGUGUAGACUUGCACAUUGGCAUUGGUAGCAAUUGCUUAUAAAAUUAACCAACAAUAUUCCUACAAAAACUAGAGUGAUUGUAAAUGCAUGGGCAAUUCAAAUAGAUCCCCAAGUUUGGGACAAGCCAGAAGAUUUCUUGCCAGACAGGUUUUUCACUAACCCGGUGGAUUGUAAAGGCCAAGACUUCCAAUUUAUCCCUUUUGGUGCUGGAAGAAGAGGAUGUCCAGGGAUGUCAUUUGCGUUAGUUACAGUUGAGUAUGUGAUGGCCAACCUUUUGUACUGGUUUGAUUGGGAUUUGCCUCUUGGUGAAGUUGAGGAGAAUUUGGACAUGUCUGAAGUUAAUGGGCUAGUGGUUCAUAAGAAAUUACCUCUUCAUCUUGUGCCAACACUCUACUCCCCUUACUCUUAAUCUUGAUAUGUCUAGAAAAAUAUCCAUUGUACUUAUGUUCUAAUCAUGAUUAUCCUCUUUUAAUUUCCCUCUUGUGAAAAAUUGUCCCCAGCGUUGUCAAUUUUCUUCCAUGUUCGUGGAUUCCUUGAGGAGCAUGGUUUUAUCUAUUUUGUCCCCUGUCCGUAGUAUAUGGGUUCUCUGAUGGAUCUUUUUCUAUAAAUUCUGUCAAUCGAUUAAGUUUAUAGAAAUACAAAAAGUUAACAAUUACCAACGAUGCUCGUAGUCAUGGUUGCAAAAUGUUACGUCCAUCGAAUUGAUGGGAGAUUAAAUACAAUUAAUCAAGAAUUAAUAAUCAUGAAGCUGAUAUUAUGAAAAAUAAAUUUACAUUAUUGACAUAUUGACAGCACGGAAAAUAUGUACAAUCACAACAGCAAUCGUGUUGAUGGGAUAUUAUUUGUCAAAAUUAUUUUUAAUUCUUAUUUUUUAUUCCUGCGGCUUGAAAUCGACUCUAUGUUGAUCACUCAUUUAUUUUCUAAUUCGUAUUUUAUAGUUAUAGAUUUUUAAUUAGAACUACGACCAUUUCGCAUUGGAAAGUAAAGAAAGCAAAAGUUAGUUUACAAAGUAAGGUGGGUUUAUAAUAAUAAACCCAUGAGGAGGAAGCUCAAGCACGCGAGACCAAACACAAUUGAGUAGCCUCAUCUAAGAAUCUUGUAAUUUGAUUGUCGUACAUUGAGGAGUUCAAAUACCAGGUAUUUAACUUUUUUUUUAAUUAACCACUGAUCACUCACCUGAAUUUUUACUCAGUAAUUUGCAUAGCUCACAGUAAGGUAAUGCUUGUUUAUAAAAUAUAUUAAAAUAGAAGUCCUGUGCAUAGAAUAUUUCAAAAUGCUGCAAGUUUCAUAAAACACAUGUAGAUCAACAUAUUAUUCUAUUAUAAGAGAUUUUAUGUAACCAUUGAACUAAUUAACAUUCACAAAUUAAUUUCUUUACAUGUGAGCUAGAUUAAUUUGAACUACAGACCUCUUCUUCCAUAAGAUAUUUUAUGCAUUCAGCUAACAGUCAAACACCCACAAAAAUUAAUUGAGGAUGAAAUGAGAUGUUGAUGCUGAAAUCUGGUCGUCAUUUGCCCGACCUGAUCGUUCCACCAACAUUUGUGUUGUCCACGAAGGGAAGGUUGUACUCUCCUUGCUCUAGCAAUUGUCUGUGUUCCUGGGACCCAAAUCACCAUUUCUCUCCUUUCCAAGCUUGCGUUCACAUAAACAAGUCAGAGACGCUAGUGGUUUUGUCGGCGUAAACCCUCCGAUGCUUAAGUUAGAACAAGGUGUUUACGGGUAAAUUGUAUGAUUUAUAACGAGUAAACUAAAUACAAUAUUCUCGGCACAAUCUGUAUCAAAGAUAUGUGUAAAAUGAGUUAUGAUUUCAAUUUGGCAGAGUUUUCUCUUCUCUCUCAAUUUUUUCAUCCUUUCUUCAUUGGUCUCUUGGCUUCUUAUAGCCAUCAUCCCACGUUUUCUGAGUAUUCCUCAUGCCCCCCAUUUCCGGGUGAUAACAGACCCUCAUGGGUCUCCAACCACCGAAUCGUGGGUAAACGUAGGAUGUCACGUUCUCCCUGGCGGUUCAGGGCAUGGCGAAACUGUCACGAUUUCGUGAGAUCGUGUCCUCUUUCUUUGGGUGAUGAGCAUCUGGUCGGUACGUAUCUCUGGUCGGUGCUCGUUUUUAGUUGGCACAUGCCCGUACACGAUAUUUUACCAGGACUCUGCUCGUGCCAUUCAGCUAGGGAGAUUCGCCUCAGGGUGAGGCAUGAGGGCAUAGCUGAGCUGGUACUUUUCAUUACUCACAUAGCUGAGCUGGUCCUUUUCAUUACUCAACAUGAGAUAGCCUAUAAGCUACGGCAACAAAUUGCCUAGAUAUUUACUGACCAAAUCGAAUUCUACGAGUACUAAUUUCUAUUAUCCUGAUGGCAUUAAAUUAAACCAUAUACACCAAAUUACAUAACAAAAAUAAAUCAUCUCCUACCUAAAUUGUUUCCCAAAUGUCACUCUUUGCCUUAUAUAUUGAAAUUAAUUUCUCAAGAAACACCUCACAAAUUUUUUACUUGCAGAUUGAUUCCAUCUUCCAUAAUGAAGCUACAAAAGUUGAAUAUUUUAUAGUGGCCCACAUGCCAUAUUAUUAAAUUAGUAAUAAUUUAGAAUUUAAAUUAUAAAAUAAAUUAUGGGAUAAAAUCUUAUUGGUUAAUUUGGAAAAAAAAACCAACUGUCCACUUUGAUAGAAAGUGGGAAUUAGAAUUUUAUUAAAAUUGGUCUUGUCUCCACCCAAUAUAAAAAGGGUAUUACGUUAAUUUUUUCUCCAUCAGAAAGUGAGUUACUCUAAAGGGAUUAAGAGAGAGAAAUCAAUUUUGUUCAUCUUUAAUUUUUUACAGUGGGAUUUGAUCAAGAAAAUUUGCUAUGGAUCAAGGUAUAUCUUCUCUCAAUUAUUGAUGAUGUGAAAAUCAUAUUAUUCUAUGAUCUUAAGGAUUAAAGUUUAUACAAAUUAGGGUAUAUUUACUUUAUGGGAAUUGUCAAAAAUUCGAACAAUAAAUAGGUGAACGAACAUACUCAGAAGAAAGUAAAAAAUUAAAGAAAUUAGUCAGCAUGAGAGCAAGUAGUAUCUUAAGCUCAACAAUGGCCAAAUUUUGUAUUAGACACACUCGACGACCAAAUCCAACUGGGAUGUCUUAGAAUUUAAUUCUAAGUGCUAUGGUUGCCCGUGUAGGUGGAGUAUGGUGGAUCUCUAUGUUGAGAAUCAUGGCUGCUGUAAAGGAUAAGGUGAACUAGGCUUAUAGUCAAGGUAGAGUUACUACCAUUCAAGUAGGUGGAGAUUUUUUGAAAGUGGAGAUUUUUUGAAUGAAUUGCAGCAAAAGUUGAAAAACAGUUGAAAAAAAGAACUAACAAAUUUACACGCAUUUUACUUGAAGUUUUAAUUUCUUUGGAAGUUUGCAUGAGCGUCAAAUAAUGGCAUAUGAAUGAAUGCAUGAAAGUCAAGAAAUCUUUUAUGUGCAUGGACUUUCAUCGAUUUCGUAUGAUACUUAAAUUGCGGAAGUGGGCACGUUGACGUCAGUCUAAUCAAUCCAUGUCAUCCGCUACGAGGGAUUAAUUCCGUAAUUAAAAAGCUUGAUAGAGUUGAGAAUUCAACGUGCAAACCCCAAUUGAAGCUUAAUUUGGGGAAUCCCAACCUGAAAUGGCUCUGGUCUCAGUCCCGAUGAAGCAACUGCUGCAGCCUUUUAUGGGCAUAUCAGAAAUUUACAACCUUUCCCUGUCCAUCUUUCUUCUUCUUCUUAUCCCCUUGCUCACACUUGUGCAGUUGCUGAAAAUCACCAGACGUAGUAGUAACCAUCUCAACUUACCUCCAUCCCCACCAAAGCUUCCCAUUCUCGGCAACCUUCACCAGCUUCUGGGAACCCUCCCUCAUCGUUCUCUCAAAGCUCUUUCCGAGCGGUACGGCCCUUUGAUAUUCGUUUACUUUGGCAAUUCUCCUACCCUUGUGGUUUCAUCGGCUGAGUUGGCUGGUGAUAUGUUUAAAACUCAUGACAUUGUGAUCUCGAACCGGCCCAAAACCACACCUGCUAACAUCCUCAUAUAUGAAUGCCAAGAUAUCUCGUUCUCUGAUUACGGCGAGUACUGGAGACAAGUUCGGAAGAUUUGUAUUCUUCAACUCUUGAGUGUGAGAAGAGUGCAAUCAUUUCAGCAUGUUAGAGAUGAUGAAGUUUCAAGUUUGAUCACUAAAAUUCGCCUCUCAUGUCUUAAUAAAGGAGGUCCUCUUAAUUUAACUGAGAUGCUACUGACUGCUUCCAGCAAUAUAGUUUCCCUCUGCGUUCUUGGGAAGAAAGCUGAUGAAGAAGAAGAAAAUAUUGGAGACAGUAAUAAGCUGGGUGAGUUGUCAAGAAGGCUGCAAGAGCAGAUUGCUGCCUUUUGUAUAGGAGAUAUGUUUCCAUCUUUGGGAUGGUUAGAUGUUCUCUCGGGGCUCAUUGGUCGUCUCAACGCAACUGCUAGAGCAUUUGACGCUUUGCUUGAUCAGGUGUUUGAAGAGCACACGAACAAGGUAUCAAAAGUAAGUGGUGAUGAUGAUGACCAAUCUGAUAAAAAAGACUUUGUGGAUAUACUCCUCCAACUUCGAAAGGAUGGCAUGCUUGGGGCAGAGCUCUCUCAGGACAAUCUUAAAGCAAUUAUCCUUGUCUGUCCUUCCUCUCAACCACCUAGUCUUAAUUAUUUUAAUUAUUAGCUCUCUCCUUUUCAAAAAAAAAAACAAUUAUUGGCUCUCUCUAUAUUUUUACAUCUUUUACAUACAUCAUGCACGCAAAAGCGCGCUCUUGCAUAUACACAAACAUACAUCAAUACUAAAGGUUUUCAUGUUUCACAUUCUCAGGACAUGCUUGUAGCAGGAACUGAUACUACUGCAACAACACUAGAGUGGGCAAUGGCAGAGCUAGUGAAAAAUCCAACUAGUAUGGACAGAGCUCGAGAAGAGGUUAGAAGUGUGGCAAAAGGGAAAUUAAAUAUAGACAUGAAGGAUAUUGAGAAGAUGGACUACUUGAAAUGUGUCGUCAAGGAAACUCUGAGAUUGCAUCCACCGGCUCCUCUUUUGGCUCCGCGAGAAAUGGCACAGAGGAUCAAAUGGAGAGGUUAUGAUAUUCCUGCAAAAACUAGAGUGAUUGUCAAUGCAUGGGCAAUUCAAAUAGAUCCCCAAGUUUGGGACAGGCCAGAAGAUUUCUUGCCAGACAGGUUUUUCGCUAACCCGGUGGAUUGUAAAGGCCGAGACUUCCAAUUUAUCCCCUUUGGUGCUGGAAGAAGAGGAUGUCCAGGGACGUCAUUUGCGUUAGCUACAGUUGAGUAUGUGAUGGCCAACCUUUUGUACUGGUUUGAUUGGAAUUUGCCUCUUGGUGAAGUUGAGGAGAAUUUGGACAUGUCUGAAGUUAAUGGGCUAGUGGUUCAUAAGAAAUCACCUCUUCAUCUUGUGCCGACACUCUACUCACCUUACCCUUAGUCUUGGUA